AGAGCCAAACAAAUUAGAUUUCGUCCAGGAACUUCCAGAGAUCGAGCAAUUGAGCUAUGACGCAAUCGCCCAUCUCGAGAUCUAGACUAGACACUUGGAAGAAACAAAGAUCUUCCUCCUUGGUCCUUUCAAAGGGCUGUCUCUUCGCUCUUCGGAGCACUGGCCGCCUCGACUCUCUCCUGGACAGCAUCCACAGCCUUGUCUUGGACGCUGCUUUUCCCCUUGAGAUCCUCGGCCGCGGCCUUGAGCUCUCCCGCCGCGGCCUCUUUCUUCUCUGGAGCAACGUCGACCUCUCUCGACUGAUAAGUGUGGAGAUAAUCCUCGGCCUUCUUCACGUAGUUCCCAAACGGCGUGCCUUCGAGCUUGCCGUAGUGUGAGGCGCCCUGGAGAAUGUCCUCGGCAGCGUCGGCGAGCUUGGCAGUGUCCAUACCCCCACCACCGCCUUCCUUCUUAGCUCCUGCUCCUCCCAUUUGCUGCUUCGCGGCGUCUAGAAGAACGUUGGCACUUCCCAUAAGCUCCGAGUAGCUUGGAACUUCGCCGCUGGUCUUCUUUGCCUCCCCCGUGCUGCUCUUCUUUGGCUCCUCCGUGCCUGAUCCAUGGCCUGCUUCUUCCGUCUUUGGCUUCUCGCUCUCCUUGUCUCCGCUGAGAAAGGAUCCUGCCUGCUUCUUGAAGAAAUCCAUAGAGGAAAAAAAGAAAUGUGAGUAGACAAAGAGAAGAUGAACCGAGAAGAAGAACCGAGGCUAAACUGUCGAUGACACUCUCCAGUGGAUAAUUUUAUAGAGUCCGGGAAAACGAGUAAAGGGACACGAUUUUUUACGCGUUGGGGCCCAAACGGGAUCACUAUCCUCCUGUGAAGAAAGAUGGACGAGGUAAAUGUGACAGAGAAAAAAAGAUAUAUACAAAACUGCCCCACCGACAAGUGCCACCCAGACUCCGAUUUGGAUGCACCACCAAAGAUUUUUAUCAAGCCGCUGUGGUUUGAUUCGUCACAGUGACUUACAAAACACGUCGGAGAACUAUAGUACAAAGCUUUCGAGUCUUAUUUCGUGCUGCUACCUUGUCUGCCAAAGAAAAGAAGAGUUUAGCAUAAAAGAAAUGGAAAAAAUUGUCAUACCAGGUAAUGAAUUGUCUCGCUCCAGUUAAGAACUCUGUAUCUGCAAAGAGAGAGAAGUCAACCAGGGAAUCGUGAAUCAAAAACAUGUCCUUCAGCCACGCCAAUUCCUCAUACGACUGGUCCGUAUUCUAGUUACACGAGCACUGCUCCAACCGGUUCCAAGACUGGGAGCAACGACGUGCAACGUCAACGGGCAGCGCAGUGAGAUUACUAAAUUAUGCAUCAUAGGACCGAACCACUAGAAGGAAAAAAAAGUAAAGCGAACUUACAUUGAGAGCUUAGAAGUUUAAGAUGAUCUUCUCUUGUGGAACCCCUUCGGCCGAAAGUAGAUCAGUCACAUCCUGCAAUAAAAACAUCACAGUGAAGGUAGGGCAAAGGGAAACAAAAAAUCUCUACCUUGACCAUGCCCUUGUGGCCACAAAGAAAAGUAACAACUUGAGAGGAAUCUGGAAUACUUAUGUUCUUCGAAAAGGCUGCCUGUGGCACAAUAAAGCGAAGUAAAAUGAGAGAUGGAGUAAAAGAGAAAACAAUGAAUCAUGUCUACAACAAUGACCAUAAAAGUACCUGGACAUAUCCUGAUUCGCCCAUCCAGCUCCCAUCAGGCUGCGAGAGCACGGGAAUUAUGCUCACGCCGCUUGCCUCCCACUCUUUGAACUUGUCCUAUCGUAGAAAUAAGUGAGAAUCGACAACCGAAAAAGAAACAAAAGAAGAGUACCCGAUAUGCCAUUCUCUCAAGACUCCUUGCUCCAUAGUAAAGCCUCACAUCGCUCCUCCUGUUCGCGUCAAUUCCGGCCUCUAUAAGUGAUCGAAUCGGACUGUCCUGAAAAAAAAAGGAACCAUACGUAAACCAUCCCAAAAGAUAGAGAAAAAACGAGUGGAAAGAAGGAACAUCAUGUCUACGCAAACUAUCCCAAGAAAUGAAAGAACAAGAGAGUGGAAAGAAGGAAGAAAAUCCCUACGUAAGAACAGAUACGAGUGGAAAAACAUGUCUACCAUCCCAAGAGAUAGCGAAGAGCAAGAACAAAAAAAAAAAAGAAAAAAAGAAUGGAAACGGAAGAAAAAAGAAGAAGAAAUCACGUUACCUGAUACCAGAGCCAGUCGCGAAGAACAGCACAGUCUGGAACUUCUCUGGAGGAUAGAGCUGGUCGAUAUCGAAACCUUUGCCCAUCACUUGGCUCAAAUCCACCUUAUCUCCCUUGGCCAGAUCGCACAGCACAGCCGAGGUAGUGCCCUCCACAUCCUUGACAAGGAACUCCAAGAAUCCCUUGGCAGCGGUGGAAGGCGGCGAAGCGAUGGCGAAGAAUCCCGGCUUGUGCUCCUCCUUUUUCAUCUGGACGAAUUGCCCCGGCUUGGAGUGACCCUUCUGGAGCUCGGGAUUCCGGCCAAUGUCGAGCACGAUGUGGAAGAGUUGCUCCGCCGCUGGAGCAAUCUCGACCAGCGGCGCCGACGUCCACAGCACUUCCUGCUUCCAUUGCGCCCUAACGACGAAUCUCACCCGCGCGGAGGAUGAUUUCUUGGACAGCGUCGAGCAGUACCUUUUGGCGAAACGCAAGCUCGGCGCCGCCGCCGUCGCCGCUGCCAUCGCCAUGGGAUUUCCUAGGGCGAGUACCUGCGGCGCUCGCAAUACCGCCAUUGCCAGGAACCCUAAAUUCCCAAAUUUUGGGAGGCCUUUAAAAAUGCCCUUCUUGGGCAUUUGCAACACGUACGGAUCCUCAAGCUGGGAGAUCUUCUUUGGGCAUAGAAUCGAACACUUGUCUAAAGUAAAGAAGCAUAUCUUGUGCGCAGAUAUACAGUAAUAUGUUUUUUCCUGACAAUAUUCGUUCAUGAAAAUAGAACGUUCUUCUAGCUUCUAAAUGCCCAGCUUGGGCAUUUUCAUUAUCCCAUGUUGACUUUUGCGUUGACAUAGUUGACUUUUCAUUGACUUACAUUGAAAAAGUGGCUAAGAGAUUCUCUCUUCUUGCGAUGCUCCACAGCGAUGGCGUUUCGACCACCACCACCACCAGCAGGAGCUGGAAAGUGGCAAAGAAAUCGACGAAGGGAAUCGCCACACUCUUGGCGGCGCUCAAGGAGGCAAGCAAGGCCAGGGAUGCCAAGAGGGGGCGGGAGCUCCACUCCGACGCCAUAGCCAGUGGAGUGGCGGGCGAUCUCUUCGUGGGCAGCAGCCUGGUGGACAUGUACUCCAACUGCGGCCUCAUGGGCGAAGCGCGAGAGGUAUUUGACGCCAUGCCCAGCCAUGACAUUGUCUCGUGGAAUGCGCUCAUGCUCGGUUACGCAGAGAACGACGAUGGAUUGGUGGCGCUCGCCCUCUUCUCGCCGAUGCGCGACGAGGGCUGCGCUCCAAACUCGAGAACUUUUGUCGCUGCGGCCAAGGCAUGCUCUAGCAUUGCCACGGCUGAGAAGGAAGAAAGAGGUAGCGAAGUAUGCUCGACUUCCAAGAUGAGAUCGCUGGAGAUUGGAAUGGCGAUCCACUCGCAGGCGCUGGAGAGGAGGUGCGGAUCCAUUUUCGUGGAGAGCUGCCUCGUCGAUAUGUAUGCCAAGUGUGGCAGCAUGGACGACGCUCGGCGCGUUUUCGAGAGCAUGGAGAGGAGGAAUAUGGUGGCCUGGACGUCGCUCAUGCUGGGGUAUGCCGAGAGUGGCGAUGGCCAAGCUGCGCUCGAGCUCUUCCAGGUGAUGGAACGCGAGAACUGCCCGCGGGACGCUCGGACUUUCGUUGCCGCGGUGAAGGCUUGCUCGAGCCUGGCUAUGGCGGCGAAGGAAGGAUCAUCUAGCGCUCGAUCCAUGAGAACUCUUGAGACCGGCAUGGCUGUUCAUCGCGAAGCUCGCAAGAGUGGAUUCGAGUCGGAUGCUUUCGUGGCUUGCGGACUUGUGGAUUUGUAUGCGAAGUGUGGGAGUAUGGAGGAUGCGAGGAGGAUCUUCGAGCGCUUCGCCAGCCACGACGUUGUCUCGUGGACGGCGUUGAUACUCGGCUAUGGUGACAAUGGCGAGCACGAGGUGGCGGUGGAGCUCUUCUUGCGCAUGGUUCACCAGGGAUACCAUGCAAACGCUCGGACUUUCGUGGCAGUGAUCAAGGCUUGCAGCAGCCUUGCCGAGGAGGAGCAAGGCGGAAGUGUGAUAAAGUUUCGCGCUCUCGCCACUGGAAUGGCGAUCCAUCGCCUCGCAGCUGCCAACGGUGGCUGCGAUUCCAGGGACGUUUUCGUGGGGAACACUUUGAUCGACAUGUAUGCGAAGUGUGGAACUAUGGUGGAUUCCCGCCGAGUUUUCGAUGCGAUGCUUACACGGGACGUGGUCUCGUACAACGCGAUCAUGCUGGGCUAUGCCGAGAAUGAUGGCGAGGCUAUGGCGCUCGAGCUACUCGCGGCCAUGCACAGGGAAGAACCGCGCGUUGUGGCGAAUAGCUUGAGCUACCUUGCUGCUGUGAAGGCUUGCAAUCACUUGGCAUCGCGAGAAGAAGCCAGGGACUUCGAUGGAAGAGCUGUGAAGAUCGAGAGCCUGGAGAAAGGCAUGGCUGUUCAUGCUCGAGCUACGGAAGCCGGGUGUGAUCGAGAUCUUUUAGUGGCGAGCAGCCUGAUCGAUAUGUACUCGCGAGCUGGAAGCAUGGAGGAUUCGCACAGGGCCUUCGAUCAAAUGGAGAGCCACGAUGUAGUGUCAUGGACGGGGCUCGUCUCCGGCUACGCCGAGAAUGGCGAUGGCGAGAGCUCCCUGGCGGUGUUCUUCGCGAUGGUGGACGAGGGAGUGGAGCCCGACUCGUGGACGCUCGCGGCGGCGCUCAAGGCGUGCGGAUCCAUCGCCUCGAGCAAAGCUGGGCGACGUCUCCAUGGCGAGAUUUGCCGGCAUGGACUGGAGGGCGAUACCAUCGUGGUCACCGGUUUGAUCGACUUCUAUGGGAAGUGUGCUACCAUGGCCGACGCUCAGCGUGUCUUUGAUGGUUCCAUGGUUGCCGCGCGGGACGUGGUUGCAUGGACGGCUCUAGUGUCCGGCUAUGGCCGCCAAGGUGACGUGAAGUUCGUGUUUGUGACGUUCCAGGCGAUGGUGGACACUGGCGUGAGGCCGGGAGGUGUGACCCUGCUGUGUGUGCUAGCCGCAUGUAGCCAUGCCGGGCUUGUGGAGCGAGGGAAACGAUUGUUUGGAUCGAUGAGAGAGAAGUAUGGGAUUGAUCCUGGGCGAGAGCACUACCACUGCGUGAUUGAUAUGCUGGGGCGAGCAAACCAUCUGGAGGAGGCGCUGGAGAUUGUGAGAUCGAUGCCUUUCCAAGCGGGUGUCGUGACCUGGAUGACGAUCUUGAGCGCUUGUAGGAAGUGGAAGAACACGAGAGUUGGAAGUGAAGCAUUUGAUGCGUUGGUUGGAAUGGAUGUGAGGGUGAAAUCGUCAGCGUACUUGUUGAUGGCUCAUGUUUAUGAGAGCUAAGAUCUUAUCUAUUGGCGGGAGCUCUUUGAAUUUACGCCGUUGGAUUUAGGGUUCUUGCUAGAUCUUUUGCAAUGCUGAUGUUCUUUCCAACUCUAUCUAUGCUCCAACGUUUAAGAUCUCCUCGUGAGUUGACAGGUCUCCCAGUCGGAUUCAAGGAAAUGCGUACACUGAAGACUAGCUUAAGAUCGGUCUCUGAAAAGAAGCCUGGUAUUGUUUGGAUUAUUCUUCCUCGGAUGUCAUGUUACAGAUGCUGUUCUCUUAAAGGAAAACCCAGACCUCGAAGCCUACACAGUCUAGCCCGAGCUAUAGAACUUCCAAAAAUCUUGGAAGUAAAGAUGCUCGAUCGAGAGAGAUCUUUGCCAGAGUGUUUGCAGACUCCACAUUCUAAAGGUAUUAUGUACUUUUCUCGUCUUGUCACUUGCGCAGGCUUUCUGCCAAAUACAAAAGAGUCCCUUUUGCCACUGGUCCGAGUCAUGAGAAUUUCCCCAUGCUAUGCUUUAAGUUCAUAUUGCAUUAGUUUAGGCCUUGGAUGAUCUGGAUCGCGUGUGCUUCGUGCCACUUGCAGCCGAACUCUUGCAGCCGAUUGUUGAUUUCCAAAGUCCAAUCCAGAUCUUGUGCUCGUUGUUUAUUAAUCAGGGCUUUUUAUUUACCAGCAAAAAACCAAAAAACUGGGCAUAGUUUCAUUGAGCACGAAAAAAAGUUUCUUGUGUCCUUGGUGUGAACUGCUUCUGUGAACUGCUUCUUAAGACUUAAGCCGCGUUUACAUUUCUGACCAUGGAAGGCAUGCAUGUUUCUAUAUGUCAGGAAAAACGAUAAAAGGAUGCUCAAGCAUUGGCAGGUAUUUUGUGAUUAAUGUCUGUUUUCAUCUCCUAGUUUCACCCUUCCACAGGUGCCAAUGUGGAGCGAGCUCGAACAGAAAAAAGCUUCCAAGCAGACACAAAACGAUUUGCUGCAUUGACUGAUCACUUUUCUUCCUGAGGAACAAUGACACUUGAAACAGAAAAACUCAUUCUCGAGCAGAAAUAAUCAGUGAUGUGAAUAGUAGUUCAUCCUGGAGUGUUGGUAACAUCUCUGAGAAAAUUUUGUUUCUCCAGGGCAAUCUACACAGUUAUUGUCAUGUGACAAUAACUGUCACAUGAAAUUCGUCCGAAAACCUUAUGGGAAAACAUGGCGGCCCUCCUGCCAAGAUCUAGGCUGAGACUCAGCUACAAUGCGGGGAAGCUUGGCUAUAAACCUUCUCUAGAAAGAGAGUAAAAGGUGAGAGAACCAAGGUGUGUGUGUCCGUUUCGGGGCAUUGCAGCAAACUCAAUUCCUUGGUCUCAUGUUAGAAGAUUCUAGUCGGUGACACUGUGACCUCACCCGGUUUCUCCUUCUCUCACUCCUUUCCCUUUCUCUCUGCUCGUCCUUUCCCUUUCUCUUUGCUGAAACACCAACAAAUAAAGGUCUGUUUUUACACCCGGUCGCUACUGUGAUCGGCAGGCUUCGUGAAAAUUCUGAUGGUGGAUGGUGGCUGUUUCUAAUUAUUAAACAGUGUUUCUUACAUAAAUGACAUUCUUUUUCAUUCUCCCAUGGCUUAAGCUGAUGAUCCUUCGGUGAUCAUUCUGAUUGUGAUGGAACUACUGAUUAAUUAGGUUUAUAUUGUGAGGGGAAUGCCAGAAGUCGAGCUCGAUAUCUCCUAGAUUUCGACCUUGUUGGCUACAUCACACGAACCCCAAUUUUGAACUAUAUAUACUUUUUAUAUAUGGUUUUAACUAUAUUGCAAUUUUUUUAAGAAAAAGCAAACAAAUGGACCAUCUGGCAACGAUAUCAAUCGAGGCGAUCUUCUUCCUCUCCUUCGAACGGACGAGAAACGCGACGCACGGAACUGCAGUUGCGAUCCGGAGCAGCAAGCUGGUGGUGCUCCAAAAUCCUCGCAGAAUUUGCUGGAUCGAAGCGUCUGGAGCAGCCCCUGCUUCAUCUGCGACGCUGCUCUGGCUUAUAACACCUAUUGCCAAGAUGAAACAAGAAGAAAUAAAGAGCUCUCUCCUUUUCAAUGGAAGUGGGCCAGCACGAUGCUGCAGAGCAGUUGCCGACGGUGGACCAUCAUCUAUGCGAGAAAAAAGAAUCUGUAGAAUUGAUUUUUUCAAAUUCAAACAUUAGCUUAUAAGAUUUACAUGGUCCUUAUAUAAGAGCAACAUUAUUUCUAUAAAUAUUUCUUUAUCCACUCAUGUUCGAGGACCUUUUCCAAAGUAAGCCUCCUUCCGGGAUCCAAUUCCGUCAUGCCUUGGAUAAGCUGCCUUGCAGAAAGGGAUGGAAUGCUAUCCCAAUCCAUAGAAUUGUGAUGGAGGUUCCUUAAACUUUGAUCUCGCUUGCGUGCAUUCUUAAAUACCACCUCCACAUCCAUAUUUGAGAACGGACAAGCUGCCGUGAGGCAAGUGUAAAGCAGCAUCCCUAAACCCCACACGUCGCUGGCUUUGAUAUAGUGUCCAUCAAACAUCGCUUCGGGAGACAUAUAAUCCCACGUCCCAACCCCACACUCGUUCCACGGAUCAUCCAUCCAGCAAGCCAUCCCAAAGUCGGACACCUUUGGGACAUAGAACUUCCCAGGCCGCGGGUACUUCAGCAAAACAUUCGCGGGCUUCAGGUCGCAGUGGAUGAUCUCGUUGUCAUGAACCCUCUUUAGCGUCUUGGCGAGAGCUAUGACGAUCUUUGCAGAUUCUUCCUCAUCAAGCUGCCCCUUGUACUUGAUCCGGUCCUGAAGGCUGCAAUUGCACAGCUCAAGAACAAGGUGGUACACCUCCCCGUACUGAUUGGGCUCUUCUCGUAUGAUGUGCUCGAAGUGGACGAGCCCCUGUUCAUCCAAACCCUUGAGUGACACCUCUAGCAUAGCCAUCACUCGAGCUUCAAACAGCCCAUCGGGCCCAUGAACUGUCUUGAUCGCAAAAACCUUUCCAUCACUCCUUCGGAAUGCCUUGUACACCGUUGCUUGCCCUCCACCCCCAAUCGACUUCUCUAGUCUAUAUUUCUCUACCAGCGCUGGGUAUUCAUCACAGAAUUUUUCAUCCAAGACCGUGUGGUACUCCAUCCCUUGCCUAGGUUUCUUGGGCACGUAGUUCUCCAAGCUAUCCUCGCGCUCGCGCUCGCGCUUAACCAUCUCGAAAGAGCUCUAGGGCUUGUUUGUAAAGGCAGAAUCUUAGUUUAUGCAUCUUUUAUUUUAAAGGUAUCAUGUUUAAGUGAACAUUUCCUGGAAUGCCAAGUGUGGAAGCAUGAGAGACUCUCGGCGGCGGGAUUGAGAACCACGACGUUGUCUCCUGGACGGUAUUGGUUCUGGGAUACGCUCGAAGAUUUGGCUCUGGAGCUCUUCUUGGAGAUGGACGAUCAAUCCAGAUUGCUCGAGUUUUCUCGCGGCUAUCAAAACUUGCUCUAGUCUGGCUGCGCGAGAGGAGAUUGGUGCGUCGUUGGCUGUGGAGAUCAAGAGCUUGGAACGAGCUUUGGCGAUUCACUCUCACGCAUCAAACUCUCGCGGCUUCAAGUUGGAGGCGAGGAGACAUACACUUGGGAAACGCGAUGGUGGACUUGUAUGGCAAGUGUGAAAGUCUAGAAGAUGCUCGCAGGGUGUUUGAUUCGAUGGAGCAGCACGACAUCGUUUCCUGGACAUCGAUCAUCACAGGCUAUGCUCACGAGAGCCAAGAUGGAGACGAAGCUUUCCUUCUCUUCUCUUCCAUGCAAGAACAAGGAUUUAAACCCGAUCGUUUAGCUUGUGUCGCCGCUAUCAAGGCUUGUAGCGUAAAUCACGGAGAAGAAAAUGGGAUUUAGACGUAGAAUCUCUCGAGAAAGCAAUGAAAAUCCAUUCGUGGAUCUCGCAGCUUGGCCUGGAGAGAGAUCCAGCAGUCUGGUUGAUAUGUAUGCCAAGUGUGGAAGCUUGAUCAUGGACAUUCGCAGGGUAUUUGAUAAGAUCUUAGAUCGCGACAUACUCUCGUGGAACUCUUUCCUGUUUGGAUGUGUUUACAUUGGCGAGGACGAGCUUGCGUUGGAAUGCUAUGCAGCCCUGGAAGUUGCUCCAAACUCUCAAACCUUUCUUGCGUUGUUGCAAGUUUGCAGGAACCUGGGAGAUUUGAAGCUCGGGAAGCUCUUCCACGGACAGAUUCUCCGGCAGGGACUGGAAGGGAGUUCUGUAAGGAUUUCCCUGCUCGACUUCUACUGUAAAUGCGGGAGCGUCGAGGUCGCCGAGCUUGUGUUUGAGAGCUCCAUUGCGUCUCCCAACACUGUGGCAUGGAAUACUUUGAUUGCAGGACAUGGCGCUCAAGGAGACGCCAUCGCUGCGUUCCAAGCGUUUCGGAGCAUGCGAGUAGGAAAAGAUACACUUGAGAAAAAACUUUGAUGUAUAUUUGAGGAGUCGCGCCAAACAAUCUUUGAAGUAGUCUUGAGAACCUUGGUUUUGUGGCUACCAGCGAGUUUACACAGUCGCCGAGCUCGAGAGCAAGCUUGGUGUUGUCAACAAGCUCUCGCCAAGCUCUCACAUUGGAUGUUUGCCACAAAGGUUUCGCAAAGCCACCACCGAUUGCCGCCAUGUAUCACGGGCACCUGUGACUUCAGUAGGCACGAGAUCUUUGCAACUGAACUGGGAAAAGAAACCGGCUCAGCAAUGGUAGAGGUAGCUCCACUUUCGCUGUGAUUCGGACCUGGAGAAAAGAAAGUGAUGGAAAGAUUGACAACAUCAGGAAGCAGGACCUUUGAAGCGAUUUCUAUGUGGUCCGCAACACAAGACUACGUUAUCACCUAGUCUGCAGUGAAGGAAAAAGAGAAAGAUCUCAUACUUAUGUGCAAGAUCCAGCAAUUCCAACUUGUCCACAAAUCAUACAGUUGCAUCCUAUCACAACAUUGUGUCCAAUUUACAUGCAAAUAAGCCAAGAGUAAGCAGUGGUUAAGAAAAGAAAAAGUUUCUCAAACAGUGGACCAAGUUGUCAAGCUUCACCUUAUCCAAGAUGACUAUGUCACACCAGCUGAUGAUUAGUCCAGGGCAAAUGAGACUUCAGAAGGAGAACAAGCAACUUUUGUUACCUCUCAGGGUCGAGGAUAAAUUGGCACUCAAUCUUUAUCAGCAAUUCCUAAGAAAAAGACAUUGUCAUUGCUUUUAUUAUUUAUAAUAAAUCAGUGCUCGGAAAAUUUGGUAUUUUAACCCCACACUUUUAUUUUUCCCACUUUUCCUAAACAAGCAGAAUGUUUAUAAAUUCUAAUUAUGUUUAUGGUUCGUUAGAUUGACAGUUUGCUCAAAAGUAAUUUGUAUGUUCAAUUACAUUCUUUUCUAUUUUAAUUUUAUCUUUACUCUCCUGUUCUACGUAUACAAAAAAAGCUGAACGCUAGUUGCGAUGGUCGUCGACUCGAGGCAGGAGAGCAAGCAGCUCAAGGCACAGUUAAGUUAGUUCCUUUCAUUUCUUUAGAUGUACAGUAUUUCUAAAGGAGAUGAACAAGGUUGCAUCAUAUCUAGAGUUGCAGGUUUCGACUAAUGCUCUGGCUAAAUGUUAUUUUAGGACGAGCUAUAUGGAAAUGCCCUUAAUUCCGGUUUGCCUUGAGGACAUCAUUUCAGCUGAAUUCGUUAGGGUUUGGUUGCGGGUUUAUCAUUUGGGAAUGGCGGGAUCAUGAAUGUGGGAAGCGCGAGAUUUCUCUCUGGAUCCAGGAAUUUUGAGCACCAGGCCGAGAUGGAGAAGAUUUGGUGCCUCAGCUGUAUUUUCUUGCGCUGGCGUCUCAUUCCACGCGAUGUUGCAUCAUUACAGUGAUGCGCUAUUGACGACUGAUGUGCAUUGGUACACACAGACUCUGGAUCACUACACGACUCAAGUGAGAAAUUUCCUUUCUUUAUUCUUCAAGAGAUUUGAUUUUUACGUGCUUGAUCUUUGCAGGACGAUAGAACUUUUGCUCACCGUUACUAUGAGUUUACUGACUACUUCAAUGCUCAAGAUGUGUGGUGAGGGACCGUGUGUAGGGAUCCAAAAUGAUUACAGUGUAAGAAAAGCAUUUUUCUCGACUGAAUUGGAUUGCCUUUCUUACCUGCGGUGGCAAGGUGCUAGCGAAAAGAUUAGGAGAGGAAAGAUUAGUAAGAAUAACAUUACUAUUAAGCAAACUAAGAGUUGCUACAUGCAAUGCGUAACAAAUUUUUACUAUUUUUUAUAAAAACACAAUAAAAUGUCCCUCAAACCAUUUUACAAAAUUAAUAGGAGCAUUAAAUUGUAUUUGUGAGGUCCAAGUGUAUAGCUACUAUGCCACAUAUUAAUAUUAGCAUAAUAGAAUUUUGAUAGCCAUUGGAUUAGUUUUAAUCCAAACCAUUUACUUUUAUAUAUAAACUAAGGUUUUUGGGUUAAUUGAUAUGCACAUUUCUAUAUUUCAUUUCUAUAUUUUAUACACUCACAUUGGUGGAGGUGAGGGAUUAUUUCUGAGAAGUGUUUAGAUUUGAGAUUUUAGUUUAGAUAUAGCUUUUACAUUAUCUAAAUCUUCCUUUUCUUAUAACUUUUUCGAUUUCUUCUCUUGUGGUUAUUCAUCUUUAUGGCAAAGCCUCCUUUUUUUUACUUUAGAGCAAUAAUUAGUGCAAUUGCUUAAUACUAUAUGGUUGAAAUCUAUAAUUUGUGCUAAAGUUGUCCAUAACCCUAUCAUUUGGCUAUCUUGUUAUUUUUGGAGCUUUCAUUUUGGCCAAAUUGAAACAUUUAGUGAUCCAUCUUUAGAAAUAUAUUUUCUUUCCCACAAUUUAUUAAUAUCAAACACAUAUGAGUAUUCCUUACCUAACUUUAUUAUUUGGAUUUCUUUUAAUGAUUUCCAUGACUCAUUUUUGGCUAUUAGUUUUUUGCUCCUAUCCUUUGAUUGUUGCACUAAACAAUAUAAGAUCACUAUUUCCAUGUUUGAGAUAUCUUUUUAAUUCUAUAAAAAAAGCUUUAUGUUGCUAAAUCCAAGAAGUGUUCACCCUUAAUAAAUCUCCUUAAUAUUAUUUCCUAUAAACUCUAUCUUGUGCAGUGAGAUUCUCCUCUCCUGCAUCAAGCAACUUACUCAUCUCGAGUAAGUUCAAAGAUGGACAGAGUAGAACAGAAACAACCUUACCUCAACUUUAUCUUGAGGAGAUCACUGAUGUUGAUGAUGAUUGCUCCCGGGAUGGGCUUGACAACCAGCAAGGUGUUGUUCUGCACUCUACAUUUUUGCCCUUAGCAUUGCAAGAUUUAUCAAUUGUGUGUAUUGGCUGCUCCAGGUAUGAAUCUCAUUGCAAGGCAAGAGGAAGGUCAUGUAAAGAAACGCAUUUUUCUUCUCCUUUUGCAGCUGAUAGAUUGGAUGUGGAUACCUCUUCUACACGCUGGGAACGCAGCUCAAACACUGGAGCUUGAUUCCUUAUGGCUUAUGGCCUGCCAUGGUUUUGGUCACCGAGAUUGUCCAGACAUUCAUCCUUGCUGGUUUCUGCUACUACUGCAUAAAGAGGUAUGGAUCGAAAGAAGAAAAAAUCCAUUUUUUCCAUGAAAUUUAUGAUUUCUUUGUUUGUGACAGUGUGGCGGAGGGCCAGAUGAUGAUCUGGUUACCGUCAAGCAUCGAGCCCCAUUCCCACUUUGGAGGGCUCACAUUGCUCUUUCAGGAUGUGUGCUUCUUUGGAUUUAAGGAAUUUGUGGAGGCCGCCACGGUGUCGCUGAGUACCUCCACUAGCGCAGCAGCCUCCUCUUGCAAAUUACCCACGAGUCCCAUUUGGAGGGGACGCGUCCAAAGGAAAACGCCCGAGCCAGGAUGUCCCCAGGUCGGGCCGGACUUUGUCCGGUGGGCUGCUGGAGGCGUGGGAAAUCUAGUCGAGCUCUUUGCCUUCUCUAUUCUUUCUUUCCUUGCGGCAAAGAGGAGAAAGAAAGCACCCAAGCAAGAAAAACCAAGGUCCACAGCAAAACAAUCGAGCAAGCAAAGGAGAGAUGCGAUCACUCACCAUGGGCGCCAUCCAGAUUCAGCUCCAUCUAUGCCACAAGCGAGAGAAUCAUUAGAAGGAAGAAGCGGGCACACAGGCAAGCAAUCCUCCCGAGCUCAACCGCCAGAAAAACCAGUUCUUGCUCCACGGACUUUAUAAUAUACCUAGACAUCAAAUAAGCAUAUUUAAUUUAGUUCUUUUUAGUGGUUUUGUGUUACAAUUUAGAAAAUUUAAGAGGCCGGGACCUUCACUUUUCUUAAUUUCUAUAAGUCUGAAUUUGAAGAAAACGCUCUGCUCGUGAGUGAUAUAUGAGCUUUACUGGAACUUGACUUUUCGUUUUCUUCAAAGAGAGCGAAAAUAUACGAAGAAAGGUAAUCCUGAAAGACGACAAAAUAAAUUCCAAGCAACUCCUUAACUCCAAGAUGGAAGUACAGUGUAAAGGAGAAUGAAAUCCAUGCAAGGUUGUGGAGCCUCCCAGCAUAGGCUUUCAAACCCGGUGCUGCGAAGGUUCAGACACAAGCGGCGGCCUCGGCGCCAACAAGUCCUCCCAUCGCAGGUGAGCUCUCGAUCUCUAUUUCUCUCGCUCGAUCGAGAAUGCAUGCCCUUGCAUGCGCGAUUUCUUCUCAAUCUCACUCCAUGUCUUGCAGCUCGCCUUGUCUGGUUCCAAUGGCUGCCAUUGCCAAAGCAAUUGCGAUGACUGCCGCAGCUGAGUAUCGAUCGCUUUGUUUUCUUUUCUUCUUUCAUGAAAGCUUGGAUUUUUUUCUCUCUCUUUGCAUGCACAGGGAGAGCAUCGCGAAGCAAGACAGCAGCAAGGCUUCGCAGAUCAUGCACUCGCUCUCUCCCGAGAAGAUCGAGAUGUUUAAGUCGCUCGAGGGCUGGGCGGAGGAAUCCAUCAUUCCUCCGGCUGGUGGAGAAAUGCUGGCAGCCCCAGGACUAUCUCCCGGAGCCAUCCUCGGAGAGCUUCUACGACGAGGUCCGUGAGCUGAGGGAGCGAGCCAAGAGCUUAAUUCUUCUGCCUCGUCGGGGACAUGAUCACCGAGGAAGCGCUGCCAACUUACUUGACGAUGCUCAACACUCUCGAUGGCACCCGCGACGAGACCGGUGCGAGCCCGAGUGCGUGGGCACUGUGGGGGCGUGCCUGGACUGCCGAGGAGAAUCGCCAUGGUGAUUUGCUCAACAAGUAUCUCUAGCUCACUGGACGAGUCGAUAUGAAGCAAAUCGAGAAGACGAUCCAGUACUUGAUCGGUUCUGGAAUGGUAAAGAGCCAGAGUUUCUUCUUUCUCGGGAACUCAAAAGUUCGGGUUUUCCAUCCUUGCAGGACCGAGAACAAUCCAUACCUCAGGUUCAUCUACAAGUCCUUCCAGGAGGAAGCCACCUCCAUCUCUCACGGCAACACUGCUCGCCAUGCCAAGGAGCACGGAGACCACAAGCUCGCGACUGUUUGCAGCCUCAUCGCAUCCGACGAGAAGUGGCACGAGAAUGCUUACACCAGGACCGUGGAGAAGCUGUUUGAGAUCGAUCCAGAGGGCGCAAUGCUGGGGCUGGAGGACAUGAUGAUGAAGAAGAUCUCCAUGCCGGCUCAUCUCAUGUACGACGGCCAGGACAAGAACCUGUUUGAGCACUUCUCUUUGGUGGCACAGAGGACGGGGGUAUACACUGCCAAGGAUUAAGCAGGAAUUCUGGAGCACUUGGUCAAGAGAUGGAUCGUAGAGUCCAUCACUGGAUUGUCUGCUCACGCGCUAAAGGCCCAGGAUUUCAUGUGUGGUCUCCGUCCUCGGAUCUUGAGAUUGGAAGAGUGAGCUCACAGCAGGGUGAAAAAGGGCCCCAAGACUGGAAUGUUUAGCUGGAGGGAAGUCGUUCUCUAGGUUUAAAAGGUAAAAGGUGUACAUUAUGAGUUAAUGUUCCAAUAAUUUGCUUUAUUUUAUUUUGUUUAGACAUCAAACAGUCCAACUCAAACAAAAGAGUUUAUAAUAAGCAUGUGCAUUGUUUUAUACAUUUUCUUCUUUUGAUUGUUUAGGAAUUAACCAGUGGAUAUACAUAGAAUAUAUUUGAAUAUUUGAAUAUAUUUUAUUAUUCAGCGGUGUGAGGUCUAGUUAUGCCAUAAACUAAUAUUGGAAUUUUGAUAUCUAAUAAAAUUGGUGAGUAUCAAAAUCCCAAUAUUAGUAUAUAGCAUAACUAGACCUCAAGUGAUGACCACUUACUCCUGUAUAUAAAUUAAAAUUUUUGGAUUAACAUUUCUGUAUUCCAAUUUUGCAUUUCAUGCACUCACCACAGUUAAUAUUCAUUUAAAUGUAAAUAAAUUGGUGAGUAUCACCAAUUUUAGUAUAUGGCAUAACUAGACCUCAAGGAAUGACCACUUGCUCCUGUAUAUAAAUUAAGACUUUUGGAUUACUGUUUUUGUAUUCCAUUUUUGUAUUUCAUGCACUCACCACAGUUCAUUUUCAUUUAAAGUUUCUCAAUAAAAUACAUUCUAACUUAUUCUACCAUCUAAUGGUUUGUGAUAGUUAUAUAAUUUAUAAAAUUUGUGAAUAAGUUAGCAUUUUUGCAACUAAUUGAAUUGUUUUUUCUACUGGGGAGAAAUAUAUUGUUUUGCUUUCCAAGCAUUUUACCCUUGAUAUUAUAGUUAGUGUGGAUGGUUAUGGGGAAUUUGCAAUGGUUUCUAGUCUUUCAGAAUAGUGGAGAGGUGAUGUCCCAAUGUAAUCUCUUGUACUGAUAUCAUUCUUCAUAUGAACAAAGCAAGAAAUCAUCUAUAACUGAUAGGAAAAAUGAGGUUAAGAAAAUGGAAGAAUACCACAGAUAAAUGAGUUAAGUAUACCUUAAACUCUUUGACUUUUUAUUGAGAUUCAAUAGCAACAUUUGGUGGUAACACUAUCACUUAGCCAGGUCAAUCAUCAAGGAAACACAUUAGUAAGUGUGAUGAGUGUGAUGAAAAUUGUGUCAUUUUUUUUUCUUUUGGCCAUAAUUUUUGAGUUUAGAUCCAUGAUAAUAUAGAUCACUAACAUGACAAUUCGAAUGGCUCAAGAAUCCAAACCAAGGUUAUAGUUUGUCCUUGUUUUUUUAGCAAGAUUUAAUUUCAUUGAGAUGGCAAAGAAAAAUAGUUUAUUGAUCACGAAUUAAUGUCAAGGAUAAUGCCCUAUGAGUGGUUUGUGAAGGAUUUCACAACAAACAUAUAUUGUCUCUACUUGUUAGCAACUGUUUAUAAUUGUAAUAUAUUUUAACUCUCUCUCUUUAAUCCAAGGGGAAAAGUGACAAUAUAUUUAAAUUUCAUCCCAUGAUACAUUUUAAAAUGCUGAUCAACAACUUUUAUUAAGCCUAAGAGAAUUAACACCUUCUUUAGAGAUGUUGAUAUCUUCAUUGACUUGGAAAUGAAAAUGUUAGUUCCUUUUAGUUUAAUAAGAGUUCUUAGUCAAUGAAUCCUUUAGCUCAACAAAGGUUGUUAUGGAUGCUUUACAAGACAAAAAAAAUAUUUAUGAAUACUUAAUACUUGUGUCAUUUGCCCAUCUCUCUCCCUUUAACCCUAUUGAAAAAGGGGCAAUUAUUUUUUAUAAGAAAGUCUUUAAUGGAUAUUUUAUCUUUAUUUUCCCUUUAAGGUUUUAACAAUUUAUAGUGACAGUAUAUGUAAAUAUCAUACUACAAUUAUAUACAACUUUGUGAGUUUGUGAAAAUAUUUUGAUAUUUUGAAUAUUCUUUAUGGAGAUAUAAGACUUUGUUAAGCUAUUAACACAUCAUAUCACAUUACCUCUAUAUCAUUCCACUCACAAAAAUUCUUCAUCCCUCUUAUUUAUGAAAAUUGCUAUUAUUUCUUGUUAUGCCCACUAUAAACUCAGUAUAAGUUGUAUUUUGAAAUAUUGCUCAUCACUUAUAUCCUUAGUCUUGAUCGCCUCCUGGAAAUAUAAAAAAAUAAAUAAAAAAUCUAUUAUCUAUAUAAGGAAUUAUAAGAAAAAACUGUUGAUAUGGAUUGCAUUAUAAGUAAUUUCCAUUUAUAAUAAUUUAAAACAUGUUGUCAUGUCAAAGUGUACAACUAUAAUGCUAUAAUAAUAUUAAUGUAGUGGGAUUUUGGUAGCUAUUAGAUUGGUUUUAAUUUGGACCAAUAAGUUAGGGUUUUUGGGUUAAUUGAUAUGCAUAUUUUUUGUAUUCUUUUUUUAUAUUCUAUGCACUCAUAUUGUUAAAGAUUAUUUAUGGCUAGUGGUGCCUUCAAUCUUUAUUCCACACUUUCUCCAUGCUUACCAUGAUUUUCCUAUUUUAGACGGGUAUAUAGAACAUCAUUGUGUGAUUAAGAAAAUGCGCAAGUUUUUCUAUUAGCCAGAAAUGUGAUGUGAUGUUAUCCAAUAUGUAUGUAAUUAUGUUUAAUGCCAAACUCAUAAUACUCUAUCUCAUGUUGCAGAAGGAUAGUUGGAGUCAAUUGCAAUUUGUCAUCCAUUUGAAUUUGUGGUAUUUGAUUUGAUGAGGCAUUUUCCACAAUUGAUUAUUGAUAAUAAGUAUGUCAUUAUUACUUUUGACUAUUUGACUCGUUGAGUGGAAAUUGAAACUCUUAUUAAUGUGUCUACAACAGUUAUUGAAUAUUUCUUCCUCAAUCUUGUGGUGUUCUAAGAAUUCUGUCUAGAGUGAAUUCUUUCAGAUAAUAGUACCUUAUUUAUAGUUAAAGCAUUUCACAUAUUAAUGUCUCGGUUGGGGAUAUACCACACUUACACAAGUGUUUGUUAUCCAUAGUUAGAUGGUUUGGUAAAAUGGCUUGUUUAGACAUUUAAAGGGGUGAUUGUGAAAUACGUGAACUUUCAACAUUUAAAUUGAGAUGGUUAUUUGUCUUCUCUUUAAUAUGUGUAUAUUAUAGGGGUGUGAAGUUCUAUUGGUGUUUCAUUAUAUAAAUUCCUAUAUGGUUAUGAUCCGAUACUACCUACAAAAUUGAGUUUACCUUUACAAUUGCUAUGAGCUAUUUAUAAUAAGUUUUGGGUUCAGUAUUUGACAAGCAUGUCCAAGUAGAGUUUGCUGAACACCUGGGUUACAUAUAAGUGAGACAACAAUAAUGUUAUAACUUUUAUUUUGUCAACUUGCAAAGUAUAAAAUGGAUGACUUAGUGUUGGUCUAUUUUUUCUUAAUCUUAUGGUACGUGGUUUGUCUAAAGGGUUUUUUGCUUAGUGGAAGGGACUGUAUUAAGUUGGACCGCAAAUUUAUGAAAUUCGGCAUAACAUCCAACAAGCCAAUCCUCCAAAAAUUAUGUAUGCACAAAGGCUAAAAUGCAUUAUACAAAAGGAUUAAUAAUAAUUGGCACCAUUUAUAGAUCCACCAAUGCCUCUUUUUAAUGUUUUUUUAGAUCCUAAUCUAUCAACUAAAAAUUUUUAAUUAUCUUCCAUCAUUCUGAAAAGAGGGGUUGAUGUGAGCUCUAAGUGUACAACUAUAAUGUUAUAUAUUAAUAAUUAACAUAAUGGGAUUUUGAUAGUUGCUAAAUUGGUUUCAAUUUAGACCAUUUGCUCUUGUAUAUAAAUUAAGGAUUUUGGAUUAAUUGAUAUGCACAUUUCUAUAUUCCAUUUCCAUAUUCUAUGCACUUACACAUUAUUCUUUAAAAUAUCUCUUUAUAUUUAUUUUCUAAACCUUAUAGGCAAAUAAGAAUCUGAUAUUGUUAUUUUCAUUCUCUUAAAGAUCUCCACUAGAAAGCUGCUCGCAUUGAGAUUGAUGCCCUAGUGCUGCUCAGUCUGAUUCAUGUGAUUCUCAUAUAGCAGUUUCCAUCGCUGAAAUGCUCAAGAGAUGCGUGAAACUUUGCAAUUUCAUCUUUGCCUUAAGAUGAUGUAGCUAGAGAACUCACUUAGCAGGAGAGAGGCAUGGAUCAAUACCCAGCAUGAAACGAACAAGAGAGCGAACCCUAGGCCAACCUCCCAACCCUUAAGGCAUUACGGCCUUAAAUCCCACAGGCCAUGGAAUAUUCUUGGAAUAUUCCCGUGGUUCAUGUCAUUCUCCCCUCCCUCAUGACCCAGCCAUAUACGGUAGCCUCGAGAAGCUAAACGAGCUUCACAUGAAGGGAGUCCAAGGCAAUACGACCAUGGAGAAAAGAUGUGCAAACGGCAACACCAACGUCGCGACAAAUGGUCACGAAAGAAAGAAAGCAAUACGGCUUUCUCACAUGACAAUACGGUCAUGGAAACAAGAGAAUGAGAAUAGAACAAACGGCUCAAAUCAUAUAGCAAUACGGCUAUAGAACUCAAUUCUCCCCUUCCUCAGGAAUGUCAUCCAAGUCAUAACCAAAACUCGGAAACACUCUCUUCACGUUAUCCUCAGUUUCCCAUGUAGCUUCGUCCAUGGAAUAACCAUUCCACUGAACUAACAACUCCCUAGUUGUUUUCCGGCGUGUUUUCACCAAUCUUUGAGCAAGAAUAUUGGCCGGACCAGCCUUCUCUGCAUCAAUCUCUGGAACCUAGAUGAUGGACUGAUCCACGAUAUCACCAGAGUGCAAACAUGCUUUAAGCUUGCUCACAUGGAACGUUGAAUGAAUCUUCGAACUAACUGGCAAAUCCAAAGUGUAUGCAAGAUCCCCCACACGCUGUAAAAUUGUCCAAGGCCCACAAUACCAUGGGGACAACUUAGCACUACCACUUCCUUUUAGAGAUCGUUGUGCAUCCGACAGCUUAAGGAAAACCUUAUCACCAACUUUGUACUCUUGAUGACGACGAUGCUCAUCAGCCAAUCUUUUGUCUCGUUCUUGAGCUUGCCUCAUGUUCAAUUUUGCCAACUCAAGCUUGUCUUGCAUAUCCUCCAGGAAAUCACAAGCAUGAGGAACCCGAACUAAAGCCAAAUUCAAACUCACAAGAGACCUAGGCUCAUAGCCAUACAUCGCCAUAAAAGGAGACAUGCCAAUAGCCGAUUGAUAAGCGCUAUUGUGAGCAAACUGAAGCAAAGGCAAGUAUUUUUCCCAUACUCCCUGUCGAGUCAAGUUUCCCACAAAAGACCGUAGCAUAUCUUCUAAUAGUUGAUUCAUGCGUUCUGUCUGCCUAUCAGAUUGUGGAUGCUCACCACUACUCAUGCUCAGUUUAGUCUCUAGUUUUUCAAAGACCGUUUGCCAAAAUUUGGACGUGAACUUAGGAUCCCGAUCACUCACAAUGUCACCCGGCAAACCAUAGAGACUAAAUAACCGGUCUACAAACAACUAAGCAAGUUCAGAAGCUUUUAUCGUUGUCUUCACAGGGAAGAAGUGAGCCAUCUUCGUCAAACGAUCCACAACAACCCAAAUAGCAUCAUUUCCUCGAAAGGUUUUGGGCAAACCAGUGAUAAAGUCCAUCGAGAUGCUAUCCCACUUAUUCUUGGGUACACGUAAAGGAUGAUAGAGGCUAGCAAGCUUCUGAUGAUCAACUUUGACCGCCUGGCAGGUCAAGCAACCACGUACGUACUUCUCAACAUCUGACUUCAUCCCAGGCCAAAAGAAAUGCCUCUUCACCAACAUAUACAUUCUCAAUACCCCCGGAUGCCCAACACUUGGCACAUCAUGACACUCAACCAAAAUCCGUUUGAUGAGUUUGUCAACACGAGGAACUACUACACGUCCCUUCUUCACCAGGAUUCCAUCUCGUAUUUCGAAUGACGCAAACUUGUCACCCUUUAAAUCUGUAGAGGCGUCCCUCAACAAAACCUUCGCACGAAUAUCAAUGAUAAAGGAGUCGAAGUCAACAAACUCCUUAAGCUCAUCCAAGAGAUCGCUGGAUAGCUUCAUGAAUGAGAUAGAAUUUACUAUUCUGGACAACGCAUCAGCCACCUUAUUAUCACCUCCAUGCUUGUACCGGAUCUUAACAGACAUCUCCUGUAGGAACUCAUGCCAACGAGCAAGGUGGCCUCGAAGAUCCUUUUGUCGACUGAAAUAUUGGAGAGAUUGAUGGUUUGAAUCCACAUGGAAGUCCGAUCCAUAGAGAUAAUGUCGCCAUUCCUUCACAGCAGCAAUCACAGCAUACAACUCCUUGUCUCGAGUAGGCCAAUUCCGCUGUGUGGCAUCAAACUUAUGGCUCAUGUACGCAAGAGGAUGCCCAACUUGAAGCAAAAUAGCUCCAAUAGCAAUGUCACUUGCAUCUGUCUCGACCACAAGAGGCUUUUCAGGAUCAAAAAUCUUCAACACCGGAGCAGAGAUACAACAUUGCUUCAAACGUUGAAAUGCCACUUCACACUUCUCAUCCCAACCAUGAAUAGUAGCAUGUUUCGACGUAUUCUGGAGAAGAUCAGUUAAAGGGGCUGUUAUCCCUGAAAAGUCCUUCACAAAUCGUCGAAAAACUCCAGCCAUACCAAGGAAACUACGGAGAUCAUGCACUGUGGAAGGUAUAGGCCAAUCAACCACGGCCUGAAUCUUUGCGGGAUCAGCUCUCACUCCAUGUACUGAAAUCAAAUGCCCGAGAUAUCCAAUCUCCUCUAAAAAAAACUCGCACUUGGAUAACUUCGAGUAGAGCUUGUUGUCCCUCAAAAGUUGUAAAACACUUCGCACAUGCAUCUCAUGUUCCUCCAUGGAAGAGCUGAAUACCAGGAUAUCAUCAAAAUAAUCAAUUGCAAACUUUCCCAAGUAAGGUUGUAGAACGUGAUUCAUCAAUCUCUGAAAAGUUGCAGGAGCAUUUGUCAAACCAAACGGCAUCACUAAAAACUCGUAGUGACCUGUCCUUGUCCGAAAUGCAGUUUUCGGAACAUCCUCUGGCUGGACACAAAUCUGAUGAUAUCCUUGCCUCAAAUCAAUCUUCGAAAAAUAUCGAGCUCCACGAAGACGAUCAAGCAAAUCAUCGAUACGAGGGAUCGGGAACAUAUUCUUCACUGUCCUAUCAUUUAAUCCCUUGUAGUUCACGCAGAGACGCCAUGUACCAUCUUUCUUUUUGACCAUCACCACUGGAGCAGCCCAAGGAGACUUACUGAUCCGUAACCACCCUUUCCGAAGGUAUUCAGCAAGCUGCCUAUUAAUCUCCUCAUCUUCAGCGGGACUAGUACGAGUCGGUUGUCGCUGAAAAGGAGUAGCUCCAGGAACCAAGUCAAUUUCAUGCUGAAUUCCACGUUCUGGAGGCAAACCAUCAGGUAACUCAUCCGGAAAUACGUCACGGAACUCCUCCUGAAUGGAAUCCACCUAUGCCUCAUGCCCACGAACGUACUCCAAAUCAGACAUGAUCAUAUUAGAAAGAAACGGGUACACCACAAAAGAAUUAGCUAUCUCAUGCAUGCAUGUCACCAACUCCAAAGCGUUAAUCAAUGGAGUAUCACUAUUGUCUGUCCCGACAAUCUCUUUGAUAGUGCCACCAACUUCGAUACGCAGAACAUUGCGCUCCCAAUCGAUCCCUGGCUUCCUGUCAUAAAACCAUUCCUUCCCAAGAAUAACGUCUGUGCGACCAAGAUCCAUAACCUGAAACGAAGGAUGGUCGAGAAUCCCUUGAACCGUCAAAGGAACACUCGGAGCCCAUUCACCGUAAACACGAGUGCUAUGUCCAUCUGCCAUAACCACCUCGUAGAUUACUGAACUCUUUUCCACAGGCAAACCAAGGUUCUUCACCACCUUAGAGCUCAAAAAAUUGUGUGUAGCACCUGGAUCGAAAAGAAUACUAACAGCAUGUCCUUGAAUGUCCCCCUUGGCCUUCACAAGUUGAUUGCGCAUAGAACCAUUAAUCUCUACAGAGUUGAUACGAACUCGAGACUUAGAUUUUUGAACUUUUGCCACAGGGUGUGGAAGAGCCACCACAACAGAUGCCUGAGCUGUAUCCACGAUGGAUUCCACCACAUUCACCUUAGCAUUCUUUGAUCCCUUCACAAGAGGACAAUCCUUGCCAUGAUGUCCAGCCUUAUGACAACGAAAACAAUUGCCCUCCAUCUUGUCCUUCUCUCGUUGGUCUAACCGAUGUCUUUUUGCUUCAUUGCCAUCUCCACUCUUCGAGCUACGAUGAAGCAAUGGCCGUUUCUUCCCUGAAAAUGAAGUAUUGGUGGGUUGGUCAUCACGUUGACCACCCCGGAGACCAUCCUUUUGACCAGCGUUGACCGAGUUGACCGACGGUUUGGGCGAAAAGAUUUGAGCCUUAGUGAUAGCAUCAGUCAAUGUUGCUGGAAAAUCCUUCUUGACCUUCUGCUGCACAUCCACCGAGCUCAAUCCUUUGAUAAAACAUUGCACCUUUAGCAGCUCAUUAUAGGUGCCCAUGAGACUAAGGCAAAGAUCACGGAACUUGCGGGCAUACGCAUCCAAAGACAAAGUCCCCUGCCAGAUCUCUAACAACUGAUUCACGAGAUCAACCUCUUCAAACUUCUUGACAAACGAAGCGCGGAAAACCUUUAUCAAAUCAGUCCAAGAAGUUGGCAUCGGAUUAGCUUUGAUGUAGUUCUUCCACCACGAAGAAGCAUGGCCCGUAAGCUUUGUCACAAAGAAAUCUAUCUUCACCUUAUCCUCACAAGGAUUGUGAGACCAACAACUUUCCCACAAUUCCAACCAAGAAUCAACCUCUUGACUAUCACAAACAUCCGGUGAUGAUUUCCAUUCCACGAUACCAUAAUCCUUGGCAUGCUUGACGUACCAAUGGUAAUCACGGACAUGAGAUUGAUUCAACCCUUGAGGGUUCAUGCGAAGCAAGAAAUCCUUGAUGAGAUUGACGGAAUCCUUAACCUCCUUUAUGUCACUCUGAACUGCAGAAAUCUGGCGUCCUUGCCGCAGAACGACAUCAUCAAGAGUCUCUUCCGCAUCGUCAUGGCUAUCCUCACUAACGCCAUACUCCUUAUCAGGAUCAAUAUCUUGCUCACCCGCCAUCCCCAAAAGAACGUGCUGCUCCGAUACCAAUGAAACGAACAAGAGAGCGAACCCUAGCCAACCUCCCAACCCUUAAGGCGUUACGGCCUUAAAUCCCACAGGCCAUGGAAUAUUCUCGGAAUAUUCCCGUGGUUCGUGUCACAGCAUCUCCAAAUCUUUUCGCAAUAGGAAGAGCAUGCGCUUUGACUGAGGAGCUAUGGAGGCUUAUGUUGUCUUUCUCUGGUCGCUCCAUGCGAGUGGAGACCUGCAUUGCUCAGCGAUGAUCUCCGCUUGUCCCUCUUUUCCUCUCCGUACGUGAAAGUUCUUCCUGGGCUUCUCGAUGUCGUGGACGCUCAAGUCGUGUGAAUCCAGCGCUGGGGCGACGUCUCCACGGCCAGCAUGGUCGCGAAUAGUAGGAUGUACGAUAAGAUCUUGAUUUCUAAGCAUUCUUUCGGGUUUUAGGGUUUUUGAUUGGAGCUUCCAUGGCGGCCGCUGCCGGCGACCAGACGCUUUGGGCCGACGCGACGGAGAUCAUCUCCCAGGUCUGCCAAGGUAAGCAACAAUCUCCCCCUCAUCGCGCCUGCGAUUUCGGCGGCAUUGAGCUCGGCUGCUUCUUUUUUCCAGAGCUCAGUCCCGGGGAGCUCAUCCAUGGCGAGAAUUUCAGCCUCUUCGAAUCAAUGUCGGCUCUCGAGGCAAGGAUUUCGAGGUAUUGCGCUAGCAGCGCUGCUAAUGGUGUGUGCCUGGGCAGAUUAUGGAUCCCAAGAUGGAUGGAGGGAUGGAUAUUGGAGGACCUAAGUCUGUCGAGGACGCGAUUGCGAGUGAUUUGGCCCCGACCGACUUGUCCAUCGCGCAGAUCAUCGAUAUUAUGGAUCAUCUUCUCUCGUGUGAGGUGGGCAAGCUAGGAAAAGCUCGAGGAGAAGCAUUCUCAUUUUUACUUUGUUCCUGUGUUCCAGGCUACUUGGCACAGGGGUCAUUCCUUAGCACAAACAGUUUUCUCGAGCAUCUACAUGCUCAAGCUGGUGCACGCCUCGUCAAUGCCGGUCUUGCAUGCGUACUGCAAGAUCACUCGAGCAAGCUGCAACAUCGUAAGAACAGCCGUGGCUUUGGCUCACACUCACGAGGUUAUUUCUCUCUUUUCUUCUGAAGUCUGUGCUCCAUGUAUUGUUUUAAGUUGGUUUCGUGUUUCCUGUUUGGCUUGCAGGAGGAAGAUCUCUUUGUUAUUUCCUUCGGACUUCCAAUCGACCACGAUGACGCGGAUUGCCUGGCGGUUCUCAACGGGGCGGAGGAAAUGUGUGUACGAAGUUUGAGAUCGGCGUCUGGGAAGAAGGCUGCGAGCGACGCACGAAGCUCGAAGUCGGCGUCUGGGAAGAAGCCCGCAAGUGGUAUUUCUUAUUGGCUGGAUUUUUUCUUGGAUGGUCAAUCAUUGAUAUGUAAUUUUUACAGGUGUUGUUCCCCUACAGGAAAACCCAGAACUCGAAGCCGAUUAUUGCCAGAGUGUGCUCAGUCGUCUCCGCUUUCGAAAGGUAUUUUUUACCGCUCUCGUCUUGUCGAUGGUUUCUCACUUUAAUUGUGCAGGCUUUCAGUCAAAUACACGUUCAUAUGAACAAGCCACAAGGGAAAGGCCUAGAAACUGCAAGAAAACACAUUGCCACGGCUCUGACUGAGCUCUCACUCAUCCGGGAGUCAAGAGCUUUUCUCUCUUCUCAGCAUGCUUCUCAAGAUCCAAACAAUCUUUCGUCUACAACAGCCUCGGGGCGUGGUGUGGUUGGCUUUUUCGAAAACAUUAACCGGUCCCUUUUGCCACCGACUCCUCCCCGCUCGAUGAAACUGCUCCCAUGGUCCGAGGUAAGCAUUUACAUGGGAAUUUCACCGUGCUUUCGAGUUCAUAUUGCAUCGUUGGUAGUCUGUCAGGCCUUGGACUAUUUUGUGCGCUUGCUGAAUGAUUUGGAUCGCGUGUGCUCGGUGCCGCUCGAUAUCGAACUCGAAGAACUCAUGCAGCUGAUUGUUGAUUUUCAAAAGUCACAUCCAGAUCUUGUGGCAAGGGCCCGAAUGCAGGUACCUUUUUUCUUUUUAUGAUUGUCUCUUCUAAUGGAUGACUCUUGCAACCAGCGUCUUGUAAUUCAAGACAACAAGCUGUUUGGUAUCCGGCCUAUGAAUGAUGUGAUUUACAAGGCUGCUUAUUCUCGUCAUGAGGCUCCUCGCGACGAUGUGCUGGAGAAUUCUUUUCAGCAAGCUGGAUGGGUCUGUUAACUGAAGAUGUCCUUUUAGCCAUAGGCUAAUGAAAACGUUUGUUUGCAGUUAACGCUCACUUUGCUGAAGGUAUUGUGCGCACAUCCGGCAUGGCAAUGCCGGAAGCUCGGGAAGAGUUUAGACGAAUGGAGUGAUUUGUUUCAUCAAGUAAGCUACCACCCCUUGUCAAAGAGAUGUUAAUACUGUUUUUUCUUCUAGGUGGAUGUUCUUGGUAUGUCUUCGGAAGAAUUCAAGAAGAAGGUAGGCACGUUGGUCUUGGUAUCACAAAAUUGUUACGUCUCUUGAUUUUGGCCUUGGCAGUGUGAGCCUUUUACGACAUGGAUAGGCUGCCAGGCUUCUUGGAUCGCAAAGCAAUACUUAAUGCUGGGAUUCGACCUUGGCUUGUAUUCGUCAGAUGACUAUUGCAUGGUCUAUCGGUAAGUUGAUUAUAGUUUUCGUUCACAUUUAUGUUGUCCAGGUGGAUACAGGUACCUUGAUCACGUCCUGCUGACAUAUUUGCACUACAAACUGGCGAAAGAGAAGGAAAAGGACGAGGAACAGUCUGAAGAAAAGAAGCCGUCAUCACUUGUAGCAGGUGCUAAAACUCAUUUGUUUUCGCAAGGCGGGCCUUGUGGAAGCAAAGAUUGCAAAACUUUUGUUUCAGUGGGCUCACCAGAGGGCGUCUCUUGUUGCUAGCCAAGAAGAAGUCGAAAAAGAAAAAACCAGGAAAGAACCCAGACCCAAAAAUUAUCUUGCUGCAUUGCCUGAGCGACCUCUGCAAAGGAUAUAUUUGGGUAUGUUGCACUCUAGAGUUCAUACAUUCUUUACACAUGUUUUCAGAUGCUUGACGGGCUGAUCAAAGACGGUAAAAUCCAGCAAAGAAAAAUGGAAUUCACCACCGAGCGAGAGGUUGUCCUGUUUGUUUUCUGCUUUGCUUAUGAUUUAACUUUCUCUUUUUCUCCAGAGAUAUACUCAACGAUUCGAGCUGCUGCUGAAAUUGUUGGUACCGUCGCCACUAUCGUUUGCUCGUUUCAAAGAAACUACAAGACUACGGCAGUACUCGGUACAUGAUUUCUUUCCUUGUUGCCGUGUUUCCAUCUGGAAUUUUUGUUUUCAAUCGUGCAGGCCAGUGAUCUCUACCAGUAUGCAUGCAAGCAGUUCAUGGCUGUGGAGCAGUGCUUGCGAAACUUGAGCAUAUCACGCGGUGAAACUCCGGAGUUGAGCCACGCGCAAAGCAUUUUGGAGAUAAAGCAGCUCGAGCAGGUUGUGUCGAGGAACAAAGUAGCGCUCCAGAUUGUGGACAGAUCUCAGCCAGGCGAAACGCUCAAGGUGUCGUUGCAAUUCUCACAACACCCAGCCUUUGGCGUCAUCGUCGUCAAGAAUUCGUGAGGCGCCAGAGUAAACUUUUUCUUUUUUCUGAAAGAUUUUUGCCAUUGACGAUCAUGGUGUGUGUAGCUUUGGCUAUACUAAACGAUUUUCACAAGCUCAAAGUCACUGAAUUUCUUCUCGGUAAAUUCAAGGGACGAUCCAAAAAAGCUCUUGAUCUUCGAGAGAAGUUGCCACGAUUGUCUUCGUGACUUCUCAUCGGCCGAACGGACGAUCACUAUGAUCACUUUGAGAGCUGGCUGGGCAGGACGGGGUCGGGACCUCUGGAGCUCCUGUCUCUGGGCUCGUUUUCAUCAGCUCUAGCAGACCCUGGUGUAGAUCUCUCCGGCCAUAGCGGCGACAAAGCAACCACUCGUCCGAUGAAGAUCAGAGUGGGAGACACGAGCUGAGUUGCUGCUACUUCGCUCGGCAGAUUGGCGAGCUCGGCAAAUACCUGAAAGCGAAUCGAGAAAGAUUGCUAAGCCGCGGAGAUGAGAGUGGUGAAAGGAGCGUACCGUUCGCUGUUGCUCUGUGGUGCCUCGUUCUAUGGCGGCUGCCGGAGUAUCGGGAGGAAGUCCAUUUGCGAUAAACCUCUCUGCAAGAGCUGGGAGUGUCGCAAGUCCCAUGUAGAUCACAAGCGUAGAAUCGGGGUCUGCCGCUUGCUCUGCGACGUAGAGGGGAUCUUUCCCUCCUUUCCUUGCAUGACCCGUGAGAAAUCUUACGCUGCAUGCAACGAGGUAUGAAUGAGACGAACUUCACACGAAAGAUGGAACUUUUACCUGUUUGCGACGCCUCUGUGAGUGAGAGGUAUCCCAAGUCCAGCAGCAAUUCCAGACGCUGCAGUGAUACCUUGCGAAAGAAGAUAAUGUAGUUUGAGAAACUAGCAGCUGGGAGGAGGAAAGGAUUUCGAGCUACCUGGGACGACAGUCACAGCAAUUCCUUGCUCUUGGAGGAAAUCCAUUUCUUCACCUCCUCGACCAAAUACCUGCAAGAAUGGCCUUGAGGAGAAAUAUAACACUAAGAGAGAAUGUUCAUACCAGAGGAUCACCUCCCUUGAGCCUUAAAACGGUGGCGCCAGCCUCUGCAAAAUUGAGGAGCAGCUCAUGAAUCUCGUCCUAUAACCAAGAGAUGCCAGGAAAUUUACUUCCUCCUUAGAAACGAUCAAAAUGAAAGAAGGAAACAAGAAGAAAGUGUGGCUUACCUGGGUGCGACUGUGGUAACCGGAAGUUUUUCCCACGUAGAGCAGCUUGGCACCUUCGUGAACCAUGUCCAAGAUGCUCGUAGAAACAAGCCGAUCGUACAAGACCAAGUCGGCUGUCCUCAUCAAACGCACUGCCUUGAGAGUGAGAAGCUCGGGAUCUCCAGGCCCAGUUCCAACCAGGAACACAUUCCCUGCUUUCCAUCUCUUGGAGGGCGACGAUGGAUCGCUUCCUUCUUCCUUCUUGCGCUGCCUUCUCAGCAGUUCCAGAACCUCUCGCAGCUCUGGCAAUCUCGUUGCUAUAUCGUUCUCCUCUUCACGAGAACUCUCGGAGGUUUCUUCCCGGCAUCCUGGACAAGAAUUUUCUACACCGCCGCUGCGAAAUUCUAGCCUACCCCCUCCUCGUACUUUCUUGAUCGAAUCCUUCUCAGUGAAUGGAGAUAUCGAGGCUCUUAGCCUGAGUUGCGAGAAACGAGCCGACGAUCCACGAUCUCCUCUGGCGGAGCAAAGCUCGGCGCUGCUCUCGGCGAUGCAGCGCGAAAUAUCGGAGCUGGAGAAGAUCGCCCUGGUAGCAGCAGCAGCUAGCGCCAUGGAAGAAAUUCUCGCCGCUAGCUCCCCGGGCUACCGGAAGAUUUCUAGAGAAUGUACCUGGCGCUUGGGAGUGAUGGAUGGAUCUCGUGGUGGAAGGGCGGCUCUCCUAAAACCCUAGAAGGAAGAGGAGAGCAAAUAAAACCCAUUCAUCCCAUGGCGGCAUGGAAGGGGCAAUGGUCCAAUGGCCCCAUUCAAGGGCCCCCAAAAUCCAACGGCCCUCUUUUAUAACCGCCCUAUCCCUAAAAGCCAGAGUGACGUGGAAAGGGCAAAAAAAUAUUUCGAGGGAGGGAGCUUGGAUUUCAAAGCUCUCGCACGGCGCCAGGGCUAGGGUUCUUCGAUCGCCGCCAAGAAUCGCGAGAAGGAGCCGCCGGAUCCCUGCGCAAUGCCUUGAGGUAUGAUCCGAUCCAACAGGCGCCUGGAUAGGAUGGAUGAUUUGGGUGCUCUACGUUAGAAAUGCGCAAGAUCGCCAGGGUCACGGGCUAGAGAGGUAGAGAUUAUGGAGAAGCGAUCGCUGCCGCUGAAUUUCUACUGCCGGAGCGCCAGGCUGCUGCUCAAAAAGGCCACGUUUUCCAGGAAAUCUAACUUGCUGGCCGAGGAGCUCCGGCAUCUCAAGAAGUUUAGUACGCUUGCGUUCUCGGUGAUUCCUUCGCAUCCCGAGUAUGAGGACGAGAAGGGCAGGAAGCUUGCCGAGGACUUGGAGGACUACAUGGCUGAUGUCCGGGAGAGGAUAGAAGAGCUCGAGGAGGAGCUCACGUCAACUAGCUCCUUGGCAGGUUACAGGAAGUCGGGAUCUUUCAAUCGCAAGGAGCUUGUUGCAAGGCAUGAGAAGAAUGUUGGCAAGAGACAGCACGUAUGGGCGAGGUUUGUUCGAAAGCUUUAUGAUGCGGCUCCAUGCUUCUCAGCGAGGCUGAAGAAACGACCACCGCAACCUCUGGCGGGUAAGCCAAAGGUUCUAUGUUUUCUUUUUCUUCUUCUCUCGUUUCAUGCUUUCACUGUAAUGCAGGGCAGCUUUCAGGGAGCCGCUCGUCGAAGGAGUCAAGCUCUCGCUUCUUGUAUAACGUGGCAGAAGUAGCCUCGCUUUCUUCAGAUGGUCAAGUUAGUGAUGAUAUGCAAGAUGACGAGCGCGUACCUGAUAGGAGUUUGAAGAUCACAGCUUCCAACGAGAUAACGCUGGACAUUAGAAGGAAGGUGGAGAGGCAUGAUACAACAUCGCUGGACACCGAGAGCACAACGAGAACGCAGCUCAUGCAACAGAUAGCAGAGGCCACAAACUUGAGUCUCGAGGGAAGAUUCUUGAACCUCCAGACCAUAGUCAUGCAGUUGAGGGACUCGAUGGAAGGGCUGAGGUCACGGGUCGAGGAAGAAGGCAAAAGGUGGAGAGGGAGGGCGGAGACUUUGGAAAGGAAGCUGAAGCUCAUGAAGGAUGAAACAGAGAAUGAUUUUUCCGGGCUUAAGCGUCAGGUGGAAGAGGAUAUGAAGAAAGCAUGCGGGGUCUCUGGGGAAGAUCAGGAACUGCGGAAGAAAGCGAACGUGAAACAAAAGUUUGAAGACAUGAUGCAAACAUCUUCGGGAGAGGUUGAAGAGUUUAGGACACAGGUGAAUCAGUUUGUUACACAGACGCAAAAGAUGCUUACGCUGGGGCUGGAGGAGCGGUUUCUGGAUUCCUUGAGUGAAGUAAGAACGGAUCUCAAGAACGAUAUCAGCAAUCUAGAAAUCGGUUUCUCCAAAGACGUUGAUAAUCUUCGACAGGAAAUGGCUUCUCGAUACGAGUCGAUGCUGAUCGACGUCGAGAUGGGAAGAAUAGGUGGCCAGCAACAGAUCAACACUCUAAAGAAACAAAGGUUUGAGAAUGGCGCACAAGCAGCACCGGCACCGAAUGAUGUGACUAAGCAGGUGGAUGCUCUGCGCGCUGAUGUUACCUCAUUACACAGGGACUUCGAAAGGCUUUGCGAUGACCAGAAGUUUGAAAAGCUGCAACUCCGGAAGCGGCUGCAGUGCUCCAAGCAAGAGGUUAUGGAAGCGAGGGUCGACACCGAAGUGUGGAUAAAAGAAUGCGAGGUUCAAGUGAAAGAAUUCAGGCACGACUUGAUAGAGCUAAGAGGAGAACAAGAGGAGAUGAAGGUGGACGUCGAAGUUCUAAAGAGGCAGCAGUCAGAAAGGGAGUAUCCCAGGCGGAGGUCUUUUGACGAGAAAUAUGAAGGUUCGGGUACGGGACUGCCAGUGGAAUUUGCCAGCAAUCUCCUGAUGGUGGAAAAGGUUGAGAAGUUUUCGAAGCUUUACACCGGUUGCUUAGAGGACUUGCGGACAAGGCUGUGCAGGAUAGAGUCAGCUCAAGAUUGCAUAGGCGAUCUCCAGACCAGAGUAUACAGGCUGGAAGCUGCUGAGCAGACGUUAUCGACAACUCCAGGCGAUACUAUGGCUUUGAUUGAACGGGAGAGGUCUCUGGCAACUUCAGCUGCCACAGAUGCGAUUGCAGCAGCCUCGCGGACAAAAGAGAUGCUGGAGGAAACGUUCGGGACGUUUCUCUCACAGAUUGUCAGUGCUAAAGAGAAGGCCGGCGGGAGAGACGUGGUCGAGCUAUCCGGUGAUGAACCAAAGCAAGAACGCCACCUGAAGACCACCGUGCAGCGCCUGAAUCGUCAGAUGAAGGAAGUCUUCGAGAGGUUGACAAGCGUUUCCUGCGGGAAGACACCAGGAGGUGGCAAGAAACUUUCAAAGGCUGGGACAAAGAAGGAACUCAAGUCCAGCAGCGAGGUUUUUAUGCCAAGUGUGACAAGCAUCGAGAACAAGAUCAAAGCCGCGGCAGGGAUCAUGAGCCAGAUGAACGACCGGAUUCACAGGCUAGAGACCGUGCAGCAGGGGCUCAGCCGGUCCAUCGACGACGCUCGCAAAGGAAACCAGGCGCUGAGGAAAGCUGCCAACUUCUGGCUGCCAAGGUACGAGGCAACCGCGAAACUGGUGAUGGAAAUCAGCGGCAGGCUGGCUUCGAUCGAGCAACGAAAGCCCUUGACAGAUAUGAUGGAUCCAAGCUCGGAGCAGCAGAAAGCAGCCGGUAAUACUACAAAGCCGGGCCUGGGCAUGGAGGCCACUGACAGAUUGCUUGCGCUGGAGAGCCGGAUGGAUCACAUCGCUUCCGCAACGUACGCAAACCUGAGGUAACCACCGCUUGUCCGAAGAUAGAUUUUCACUAGCUAAAACACUCUUUUGUUCUUGUUCCUCCAGGCUGCUAGAUGCCAAAGUCGAGCACGCCAGCAUUGGCAUGAGAUCAGCACUGGACAUCGCCACCGAGACGGAAGACAAAUGCAGCUCUCUGGGAGGAGAGCUCGUCAAAGUCUUCCGGCUCAUCCUCACUGCACGAGAGAGCCCGACGACGAGAAAGCCCGACUCGCCACCGCUUUGUCCUCCCGAGCGGGGGCCUCAAGAGCGAGCAAAGUCUCCCGGUGGUGCUAGAUCUCCUCCACCUCCAGCCGCAAGGUCUCCAGCUCCAGCGAAGUCGCCAGAAUCAAGGAAUCGAACGCAGACGCAGCAGCUCUACAACCCGUUACCAGCCAAGCCCGUGAAACGCAUCAGCCUCAAGUUCGGAGACCAAGGCAACAUCUUCACCAACGCUCCAAGAUAGUUUCUAUACAUAUACAUGUAUUGAACAGCUCCAUCUCCAACUUCCAUGGAUCUUCUUUCUGAUCAAUGAAAAUUCCCUGGAGGCUGUACAGUUCUUAAGAAAGAGAAGCGAAGAGAAGAAAGAAAAAUACCAGGCCUUUCGAAUGGAUGGAUUGAAAGAAUGGUAUACGACGAAAAUCACUGCAAAGAAGCAAAAACUUUCCUGUGUCAAAACGGAAGAACAAAAAGAAAGCGAAGAAGACAGUACCUAUAGAUUGAGAAGAACUCCUUCCGUCCCCCUCUGGAGAGAGCGAAAUCUUCGCUCGCAGUUAGUAGAGUCGCUUCUUACACCUUCGAGCCCCGCAGUAGCACCGCUUCUUCUUGAUCUUCCCGUCGCUGUCCCUCACCGAGUCGAUCUCGUAGCCAUAGUCGUAGGAGAGCUCCUCGAAAGGCCGGAUGUUCUUCAUGGCGAACAUCAUAACGUGCGGAUACGCCAUGUCGUUGUGGUCGUUGAAAACGCACUGGACGAACAUGUUGGGGUCGCAGCUAUGGUUGAUAAACCUGGAAACGUUCCCGCAGCUCCCAGCGUCGAUGGACAUAUGACCAUCCUCCACCACCUCGCAAAUCUCCCCUCCAUCCUUCUCCUCGAAGAAGCUGGAUAUGUCCACCCCGCGGGAGCGGCUCCCCUUGAUGCAAUCUAUGUCGAAGAUGUACUCGUCCUGCCCGACUCGCCGCUCGGCCUCCUCGUUGCUUAUGAGCUCGCCAACGUACUCGCAGAUGAAGCUCCCGAACGGGAUGGCCUCCCAGGAGCGCACCCCCCACCCCCGGUUCUCCGUCUUGAAAACCUCGAGCUUCCUCGUCUGGCCUUGCUGGGAGAGUCGCAGCGGGCAGCUCGCCGCGCAGCGGCACAUCGGUCCACACUCGUACAGGAUCGUCUUCGACUCGUACAGCGCCCCGUCCGUGUAUGGCAUCUUGUUGCUGUUCUUCCCGAUGCACAGGCAGCUGGCCGAGUCCCCGCACCGCCCCACGCAGCGGCACCCCGUCGGGUACGACGGCUGGAGGAAGCCCGGGGGAAAGAUGGUCUUGGUGAUGUAGGUGAAAGGUGGCGGCGGCCCCGGGGCCGCGUCGACGUCGUUCACGGCACAGAUUGGAACCCGCUCUCGCCCUCCGGAGAUGUCCUCGCACACCACCGCCUUGCGAGCCUCCAUCUUCGCCUGGAGCUUCCCGGAGAACUUGACGAUCCUGGAACCCAGCUCCAGCUGCCCUGGGUCGCGCUCGAGGCUGUACUUAAACACCCGGAACCCCGACAUGCCGGUCUCGGCCCAGAAGUGGGUGACCCUGUAGAGACCGUCGUAGCUGUAGAUCUUCCCCGAGGGGCUCUUGGAAUCCAGGCAGCCGCGGGUGACUCGAACGGGGACGUCGUACUUGCAGCUGUUGGCAAGGCCCAAGUUCCCCUUGACGAGCUCCUGGUCGCGGUACUGCCGCUUGUCGCCGUGGUAGGCGUUCCCUCCCUGGCCCGUGUACGUGAACGUCUCGCCACUGUCGACGUCGUCCUCGUAUCCGCCCGAGAGAACCAAGCUGCAAGCGAUGAGCUCGCCAAACUUGUUCUCGUUGGGCCGGAUGGUGUCGAUGCCGGCCUGGGUCUGGCGGUGGAGGCCGACGAUGCACAUCGCGAUCCGGAAGAAGAAGAUGUCGCCAACUUCCACCCCGGGAACCGGGCCGAUACGUUUCGCUCGGUUCACCCACAUGUUCUUCUCCUUCAGGGCAGCGGCCGCCUUUUGCGAGCAGUCGCCCGUCACCUUGUCGCGCACGUAGCAUAUCCGGAGCUUCUCGUACGCCGAAAGUGCGUUGGUCACCUUGAUCCGGUCAUCGCUGCUGCCGCUGGCGGUGUCCGGGGCGGCGGCGGCGGCGGUGAAGAGCCCGUCGGCGUCGUCGUCCUCGGAGUCCGAGAGCUCCGCCACGCAAACGUUUGGAUCCGCCUCCUUGAGUGGCUGGACCUUGAUGGCUUCCUCGCCGGAGUGACGAGGAAGAGGGAGCGCGGUCAUGGUGGAAGAAGAGGGACUCAUCGCCUUCCGGCUCACAAUCACCCAAUCAGUCGGCUCCACCAACGCCGUGAUCGUCCCUGACGCUGGCGCCUCCCAGCACUCGUCCGGGUCCACGAUCGUGUCGUCCUCCUCCUCCUCCACGGGCGAGAUCUUUGGCCUCUUACUGUCCUCGAUCUCUCCCUCCUCCUCUUCCUGUUCCUCCUGUUCCUCCUCCUCCUCGUCUUCGGAAUCCAAGACCAUAACGGGCAUGACCCUCUUUCUAUCCUGCGGUGUGCCUGCUUCUACACCGCAUUGGCUACCUCGAUCUUCCUCGUCGGCGACCAUGGAGGAGGACGACUGCUGCUGCUGGAUCUUGCGUGAAUUCGCUGGCCACCGCCGCACCGCCACCGGCCGCUCCAUCGAUCUGAGAGAUCACUCCCCACCCCUCCCGCCCGCCUAGAAGAUGAAACAGAGUAGCCCUAACCCUACAUUUUAGGUCUCCUGAUUCGGGAAUUUACGCCAGUGCAAUUGAUGUAAGCCCUAAAAGGUUGAAAAGCACCCCCUUUGCUAUUUACGUUUACUGUUCAGAGAGACAAUAUCGUGUGAAAGAGAGGACUUCUCAUGAAGAGCUUGGUCCUGUUGGUUCACAUCAUGUAACAGCAGCAACCAAAGAUCUUGCUCGCAAUUUGUGAAACCCUAAAGAUGUAAGCCCUAAAAGGUUGAAAAGCUCGUGUGAAAGAGAGGACUUCUCAUGAGGAGCUUGGUGGUUCACAUCAGGUCCUGUAACAGCAGCAACCAAAGAUCUUGCUCGCAAUUUGUGAAACCGCUUCGUGAUGUGUAUCCUUCACUCUCUUGCUGUGUCAUUGCGCGAGAAUUUCUUCCUCAUUUGUGGCCCCCUGGAGCAUAAGAUAAGGUUCCAGCAGCAAUGCAAAUGCGAUCGGGAGCAGCGUGCAUGCCGGCUGUAAGAAAUGGUGGUGAAUGUUGUGCUCGGCCGACCUUGUUCAACCCGUAUGAGCGGAUGGCUCGCACUGUUGAAGCGAAAGCGCACUGACCAUGAAUGAUCCGAGGAUGGAAAAUGUGGUAAAACACAAAAGAUGAUCCUGUGAUUGCUCGCAAACAAAUCGAGGAAUGUUCUUGCAAUAGCUGGUCAAUGUCUACAACUCAGGAUCCCAACUAAUUUAGCAAGAUCACAUCUUGGUUUGGAGAACAUAGAGAGAGAUCCUUGAAAAGAAAACUGUCUAAUGUCAAUCAACAAACCGUCCUAAGGGAAGGGCGAUACAUAACUGCAUAUUCAUAUGCCACUACGUCCCAGUCCCCUAUGCUCAAGUCGAAAACAAAUAAGGUCGACGUCUCUGUAGUCGAAAAGACAAAAAGGUUUCUCUCAGCACAUAGAACAAUGGGAAAACACUCAUUCAUGUGAGACCAUAGCAACGGAUUUUUGUGUUACGUCCAAAUUGGUAUAUGGGUAUUCAUGUGGCCAAUUUUGGUAUGGUUUCUUAUAGCCCAGAUAGUGAAUAGUUUUCUAUAUAGAUUAUUUUUCACUUUAUCCAAAUAGUUUUAUAGAGAUGGUUAUUCAUAUAGAUUAUAGUGUGAUCAAUUAUUUAUAUUACAACUAAUAAUCCAAUCUGCACUAAAGCUCAAUUAUUUUGUGCCCAAUUCCCAUGAUUUUUUAUUUGUAAAAGCUAUAUGGCGAAAUAUUUCCUUCUUGUUCAUAAAGUUACUAUAAGCCCAUAACAGUAUCAAGUUGCAAAGUCUCCAACUCAUGCAUGCUUGAAAGUGUUUAUUUGCUUAUAUAAAUAAAUAAAAAGAUUUAACAUCACUCUCCAAGAAUUACAAGAUGGAUUUUCCAACUAUUUAAGUUCUUAGCAUAUUGUUAACACUCUCUAGCCAUUUAAUCUAUAUAGUUUGCACCAAUAUAACCUUUGCAACAUGGGUAAGCCAAUUCAAAAUUUCCACUGUGUUUUUAAUUGUUUUGUUUUUGUUAUAAAGAACAUUUAAAAAUUAAUAUAAACCACAUUGUUUUGUUAUUGUUGGAAAAAAAUUCCAGAAAUUGAUGUAAAACAACAUGUAAAAUCAUAUAGAACUACCAAAACAUAAUAAAAAUUAUAUAGUUGGAUUAUUUAGAUAUUAUUUAUGUUUACCUUUAAGAUAGAGUAUAGCUCCAUUUCUCUUGGCUUGUUUGCUGUAGUGGGGCCAGGGGCGGAGCACGGCCACCUCAAGAACAUCAGCUUCGUUCCAGAUCGAUGCCUCGAGGAGCUCUACUCGCAGACCUUCAGACCUUCGAGCGGAAUGCCUCCUCCGUGGGAGCUGCUGCAAGCCGCGGGGCACAGCCCAAUCUCUCCGACUUCAACGUUCUCGUAACGGCCAACGGAGAGCUCGCGGUCUCGAACGAGUGCCGGGAUCGCUGGAGCCACUGUUGACCGAAGGAAGAAAACGUGGUCAACGAGACGCUGACCAGAUCAAGUCCCGGCCGCCGCCGCUGGACUUGCGGAGGGGCGAUCGAGCUGCGUCGACACCAAAAUCACUAGCUUGGUUGGGAGCCUUGCUCCAUCUUCCAGGCUGAUCCCGCGAGAGACCAUCCAGAGAGCACCACUGGAGCUCUCUCGGGCGAAGUUGAAUCCAGCAUGGCGGAGGGCUCUCUGGCAGGUCAUUCUCUCGACGAGCUGGGCCGAGGAUGCGUCACAGGCUGUCCGGGAUGAAGUUGCGAGAGAUCAAACAAGCUGGGAGCAGUCGUUUGUUUGGAGAGCACUAUCCGCGGUUGUAUGGUGUGUCAUCGCCUCUGCGCAUUGACCAGGGCCAUCUCCGCUCCUGGAGCUUUUGUUUCUCAAAGAUCUUUAAGCAGGUUUGCGAGGCAGUGGAUCUCUCCCAGUGCUCUUCCAAGCUUUUUAGAGCCUCAGAAGCUCUAACGCAAACCAUCUGUUCCUGACACCGUCUUUGACAGAUAUAUCCAAGCGUCUCCUCUUAUCGUCUUUCGUUUUCGGCUCCGGUAUCACAAACCAGUUCUGAUGGGACUGCCUUCAGCUUGACAAACAUUUCGAACUGGAUACUGUACUCCGAAUCCCAAUUCUGUGACUCCGCUCUUUCAAAAAUGCUCCGGUCCAGCCUUUCAAUGGUCCUGCUGAUCACCCAAAUGUGAUCAAACCGUGGUGGACGUGGACCUGCUUCCACGCUAUGGCUUAGACGAACAUAAAGACCAUAGAGUAGAGUCGACAUGAGCAGCAGAGACGAGAACUUCAAAUCACAUAGCACGCCAUCCAGAUUCGUAUCAACCACCACACCUUCAGACAGCAGAAGUUCCACAGUUUCAUCGUGGGGGACUUUGACGUUGCAACCGGCUCUCAAUAGCAACAAGAGCAGCUCCUUUCCACGGGGCUCAAGAGCCUUGCAGGCGGAGAUAAUAGCAUAGUACGUAGCCUUGACGAAAAUCUUGAAAAUGAAUUUGUCCUUGUGCAGUUGCAGCCACAUUUCAAGAGUCUUCGUCGUCUUGUCGAUGAACUCUCGGUGCAGCAACUCACAGCAUGCGCCUACCAGUCCCUUGUGUCCCGACGUCAAUUCCAGCAUCGACGCAGCUAUAGCUUCCCUGUCAACUGAGAUGAAUGUAUCCUUCUCGUACUGCCACAGCAACGACUCUAUGUCUGACAGUGUAAAACCGGUGGAAACCAUUCGAACUCGUCCGAAAACGGAGAGUUUUCAGCGCCUGGCGAGGGAAGAUAGAAACCGGGAGGAGCCCCUUAGGUUCUCUUUCCACGGGCAAGUUUCAGCUCCAACAGCAACGAAUCUGUGCCAAUAGCUAAGACCGAGAGCAGCCGAUUCUUGUACCGGUCCUGCUUCAAGUUCCGCAAUGUGGCGAGAAACGAUUGCUUAAAAUCUUUAGACAGCUUCGAAAAAAUGCUCAACUCGUCAACACCAGCCUGUCGUCUUUCCCUUGACCCUUUUUGAACAUGCUUAUAAACUUACUGGAGCCAAAAGUCAUAGUUGGAUCCGGCUCAAGGUCCCCACUCGAACGCAGAAACUCCACAACCAUGUUCCCUAUCAGUAAGCUGUGGAUCUACAAUCUGCCCGUAGAUACAGGAGAACUUUGAUAGCCAACCUGUCAAACCAGUAGCGUCCUAUAACUUAAUGCUCUCAUCGUUUUCUCAAAGUGGUGUUAUAGAAAUGGCUGUGAGUUGUUUUAGUGAAUGCAGGAAAGGAAUCUCGUGUCCUGGGAUGUAAUGCUUGCUGCGUAUGCCCAUAUCGGGCAUCUUGGUCGAUGCUGGAAUAUCUUCGCGGCACAACCUGAGAGAGACACAGUCUCGUGGGGCACAAUUUUAGCUGCGUGAUUCCAAAGACGCAUUCAAGAUUUUUAGCAGCAUGAAUCUGAUCGGCACAACAGCUGAUGAAGCUUGUUUUGUAUCACUUCUCGUGGCCUGUAGCCGUGGAGGCAAGCUCUACGCGGCCAAAACUUACUUGGCUUCCAUGGUGGAUUGAAGCCUUUGAAGCAGCACUACUGCUGUGUGAUAAACUUGCUGGCCAAAGCUGGGCACCUUGAAAGUGCUGCGAAUCUUAUCACUGAGAUGCCUUUUGUGCCUUUUGUGCCCUGGAGUGGACGUGCUUGCUCUCAGGAACUUAGUGUUAUUUUAAAAUGUCUUUAGAGAGGAUGAUUUGCCAUUGUCUGCCAUCGUCAAUUUAUAAAUUGAGAUUUUUGUUUUCUUCUUUGUUUUGCUGAAAUAAUUCAGAAGCCAUGUUUACUGCUGCUAAGAAACAAGUUCGUUCCACAAUUCUUCAAGCUAGAAGUAGGACAAAAGCAAGCUCCCCUUCUUCUUAUAGAUGGCAUUGUUCUAGAAUUCCUUCUUGGCCACUAAGCUAAGAGGGAGAGGAUGAUUCACCACAUUUCUUUAGAAGUAGGAGCUAAACCAAGUUCCCCUUCUUCUAGCUAAGAUGCUAGCUCCACACAGUAAUUCUAGUGUAGAUCCAUGGACCUCUUCCACUGGAUGCUGCUUGAAGGGCUUUAUCUCACUCUCGGGAUUGUUCUCAAUGUUUGUGCCCGGAUUGAAGCUCUGGAGUGAUCCACCAAAGCUUGAUGCAAAGUGGGAUGACCACCCUGAACUACGCUGUUGGGAGCCCCGGCAACGUCAUGUCCCUGUUCUUAAAGUUUCGAGCAUCCUACGGUCUCGACCAAUGCAGAAGAGCUAGGAUGAUUAGAUGAAGAUUCACAAAAACAGAAGAUUGCUGCAAAAGCAAAAGCAAUCUAGGGUUCUUACACUCUUAAUUACAUACUUUUAGCUUUUUUAAUAUCAUAAACGUUCCUACUAUGUUGGCAAUAACAGGAAGAAGAGUCAAUGAUCCCAAUCCAGUUAUGAUGCUUGGUGGUGGUGGUGAGGAUGGUGGCAAUGGUGGCAAUCAUGUCUCCUCACCUAACAUGAACUCCUCAACCAUUGAUGGCUCCUCAUCCAUGGAACCCAUGGAUGACGAUCAUGGACACAUCUCCUCACCCAUAGACUCCCGGACCAGUGAGACCAACUCUGCCAUGAACUCACGUUUCAUGUUUGUGUUUAACAUGUAUAUUAUUAUUUUUUGUAACUCUUUUCUUAGUUUUACUUGGGGUCUGGGUAGUAGUAUUAGUGUUUUUAAUAUUUUUGAGUUUAAGGGUAUAUAUAAUUUUUUAUUUCUAGAUUAGACUUUAGUUUUCCAAUAGUGCUAUUUUUUUUAUUGAGCAAUCCUUUCUGAGUAAUAUAUUAAUGUUCUUAAAAUCUUAGUUAUAUAUUUAUUCAUAUUCCAAGUAAACACAUAAUAAUUAAAUAAUGCUUCCCUAAAUUAAUAAUAUUUAAUCUUAGUAAUUCUUCUUUACUUUUAUAUGAGUCUGGGUAGUAAUAAAUAUUAGCUUUUUUUACCAUUUCAGGAUUCUAAAUUUGUUUGAUCCCAAAGUAAAAAUAUACUUUACAUAUAACAUCUAAUUAAGAAAAUUAUUUUUUAGUAAUUCUUCAUUUAAUUUUUUUUGGGAGUGUAUUUUUAAUCUAAUAACUAUGAAAAAGUAUUCUUAGCAAUUUUUGUUUUACUUUACUCUGGGUUGGGUAUUAAGUUUCAUAAAAUUUUAAUAUUCUAAAUAUAUUCAUAUUCCCAAGUGGUGCUUUGUAUAUAUUAUCUUUAUUACUAAUAUUUACUUACUAAUUCUUCUUUUCUCACUUUGGGAAUAUAUUAGUAUGUUAAAUAUAUAGUCUAUAUUAUAUAAUAUUGUGUGUGUAUAUAGAGAUAUCAAAAGGAAAAAUGCAUAUAAAAUUAUUGAUUUUUGUACUCAUACAGCAUUUGUUGGGCAAUAUGUCACAUACAAAGUGUUAACUAGCAUUAACACUCAACCUUUUGCAAUGGAGACCCUUUGAAAUUGAGAGAGUAAAUUCUAAGGUUUAGUGGAGAGUGUUUGCUAUGACAGCAGGCCUAACUUUUGGUGCCUUCAAGUUAUGAUUCAAGUUUAUAUGUGAAUCUCUUCCCCUCAAUUUAGGGUUUUGUGAGCUAUGGCACAUCCUCUUGCUAAUCCCUAGCAUUGGCACUUCACAUUCAUCCCAAAUGCACAAAUUCUUGUACAGCACCCUUCUUUUCUCAUUGUGGCUACUGGUUUGCUACCUGUUUUGGGAAUUGAGAUGAGCUACAACACCACUGGAGCUACUGUUGUAAGUUGAUUUUCUUGCAAUGAGAUUACAUUUUCUCAAAUUUCUUAUUAUGUCACUAAUGAUGGAAAGAUUUUGGGAGAGUCAUUGAGAUUGCAAGUACUCUUUUUUUUCUCUUCUUCAUUUUUAUUCUUUUUUGUUUUGUUUCUUUGGAUUCAAGGCAAAGUUGCUUCAACAGUAUGAUAGUGUGAUGCCUCUAGCAACAUGUCUAAACCACAAGCUUGCAGCAGUAGCUGUGGCAAUUGGUCCUUGGCUUGAGUUCAUGCUUGGAUGGUGACAUUCUUUGUGAUUUUUCCAUUGGGAGGAUUAUGUUGGGCAGCACAUUGAAGAAUUGAUUGGCAUGUAAUUUCUCAGCCACUAGCAUCAGAGAAGCAACUUACAUGCUUCUCAUUGUGGCAGAUUCCCAUGGUCACCAGGAUGGUAAGUUUUUUACUUUCUUUACCAAGUGAAUUCAUAGGUGCAGAGAUUGGGACAUUGGGUGUUGAGUGCUAGCCAAACUCUAACAAUAGGUUCUGUCUCUUGCUAUGGUGAUGAAAGUGUGGUAUCAAAAUAUUUUAGGUUAUCCAAAUGGUAAUGCAUAGUGCUCUUGCUAAUCUAACCAAUGACAAGUUGUACCUAUGAUAAAUUAUCAAAAUCCAAAACUGCUAGAGAUUUGAAUUCUGUUUAACAGGUUACCCUAAUAGAGUGAAUAUUUAUUUUUAAGUGAACAGCUUUAUUUUUAAUUAUUUACUAAUAAAUUAAUCAAAUUUAUAAAAUUAUUAUAUUUUAUAAAUUAUUAUAAUCUUUGAAUAUUUUAGGUCAUAAUUAAAUUUUAUAAUUUAAUUUAGCAGAAAUAUAAUAAGAAAACUGUAUUCUAGAAUAAUCUUAUUUCAUAAGAAUAAACUAGAAUAUAUUAGAUGGUAAAUGUGGGUUGACUUAAUUUUAUGAAUGUGUAGGAUCAUGAUCAAAGCUUCAAGUGUUAAUAUAAGAAAAUUAAACAAUUUCAACAAUAGAAGUACAUAUUAUAUAUUUAUAUGUAGCCUUAGCUAUUAACAAUCUAACUCAUUAUCAAAAAAAACUAAAACAAUGUAUGCAGUAUUUGAUUAAGCAGUAGUAUUUUAAAUUCUUUUUCCUAUUAUAAGUAUAGUUUAUUAGUAAUAAUACUAUGGAAUUACAGUUUCUAUAGCAUAUAUAUUUACAAAAACAUUUGUUAGUAAUUAUUUUCAUGACUGGAUCUGGGUAGUAAUAUAUUAAUGUAAACUUAUUGUUUUAUAUUCUAAGUAAAAACCAUAAUUAAGUAAUGUCUUGCUAAUAAAAAUGAAAUAUACUUAUUCUUAGUAAUUAUUCUCUUCUGUUUGAUAAAAUCUUUAUAUACGCUUAUCUCAACUAAAAAUAUAAUUUACAUAUAACAUAUUAUUAAUAAUAGAAAUUUCAUUUUUACUUUUUUUAGGCCGGGUAUUUUUCCAAAUAUAUUCAUAUUUCAAAAUAAUAUUUUGUACCUAUUAUUUUUAUUACUGGAUAUUUAAUCUUACUUAUGUCUAGGAAUAUAUUUUGUUCUAAAUAUUUAUAUUAUCAAGUUUACAAAAAUUGAUUUUUGUAUUCACCUAAUUCUUCUUUCAAAGUGAAAUACACUAUUUACUAUUCCAAUUUAGUUUUUAAUGUAAAAAAAGUAUUUUGUUAACUGGGCAGCAUAUGCUAAGGCAUUAUAUUUGUCAUUUUCUUUCCUGGAAAAGUAGAAUGGCAACAAAUCCCCUGUAACCUCCACUCAUUCCCUUUGAGAGAGAAUGUUUGGAGCAUGCUAAGCCCAGUGCCUGAACACAACAUCUCUUACACCACAACAAGAUAGCAGAAAAGUAGCUUGGCUUGUCAUCUCUCCCUCUCCACAUUAAUUCUUUGUUAUCAGGCAAUAUAAUAAAAUGUGGAGUUUCCUCAUUCCAAUAAUCCUUGUCAUAGCCAUCCAAAAAUUCAUUAGCACCAACAAGAGAGUUUUGAAUUUGGGGAACAGCCCUUAGUUGAUUGAUUGAGCUGCAAAAUGUGAUCACACAGAAGGGCUCAUUUUUUGGGUUAGAGCAUAUUCAUGCUUAUCUUCCAAAAUAACAUUUUGGAGCUGUGGCAUGGACAAAUAUGCCCAAGCCGGGCAUCAGGGGCCAUGCUUCUUUUGUUCAAGGCUGAGGCCAAGGGAGGUGACCAUCAUCAAGGCACUCACAGUGUGUUCCGCCAUCUCAGGGUGAGCAUGGUGGAAGCUUGUUCGAUACCACGGAGGGUACCAGCACUGCAAGGCACUCUCGACACUUGAAGCUCUUGAGCGAUCCACCAAAAAGUGGUGUGAGCCCCGGCAGCGUCAUGUUGUUCUUAAAGUUUCGAGCAUCCAUGAGAGCUUACAGUCUCGAUAAGCCAGGUGAAGAUUCACAAAAACAGAAGUUCUUACACUCCUAAUUACAUACUUUUAAUAUCAUAAACGCUCCUAUAAAUGUUCCUACUAUGUGGGCAAUAACACGAAGAAGAGUUGAUGAUCCCAAUCCAGUUAUGAUGCUGGUGAUGAUAGGAAGAAGACUCGAUGAUCCCAAUUCAACUAUGAUGCUGAUGAUAACAUGAAGAAGAGUCGAUGAUCCCAAUCCAAUUAUAAUGCUGGUGAUGGUGCUGGUGGUGGUCCUAGUCCCUGUGCUAUUCUUUGUCCCCUGUGGUGGUGAUGGUGGUGGUGGUGGUGGUUGUGGUGAGGACGGUGGUAGUGGUGGCAAUUGUGUCUUCUCACCCAACAUGCUCUCUUCAACCAUGGAUGGCUCCUCAUCCAUGGAACCCAACGAUCGUGGACACAUCUCCUCAUGCAUAGACUCCCGGACCAGCGAGACCAACUCCGCCAUAAACUCCCGGACCAGCUGCAGUGGCGUCGACAGCAGCGGAGGCGGCAGCGGCAGAGGCAGAGGAGGAGGCGGCAGCUGCAGUGGCGGCAUCGGCGGCAAUUGCUUCAAUAGCUCUUGGAGUUGUUGUUCCACCACUGCCAAUCGCUGUUCAAGGAGCGCCACUCGGUGGUAAGGCACCAUAGAUUGAUCCACCCAAACCCUUCCCGAAAGCCCUAAAAUAAUAGUAUUUUAUCUUGAUGCAAUCCUUUUUGGUGGCACCAAAAAGGAUACACAUACAUUUGCUGGUCCAUCAAACCGUGAAAAGCGGCAAUCUCGAAGGACUGUCAACUGGCUGAGCGCGUCAAAGGUGGCGGGCUUUCAUCCCGCCGGCCCAGGACGGUCCCAGAAGUAUACAACUCCGAGGGUGGCGGGGCUUGGAUGAGUGUCGCCGAGACGCUCGAGGGGUGGGCUCGGACGUGACGUGCCCGGCUCGGGGGAUACCAGUUGGGAUCAUCGCGGUGGAGAUGCAGACGGCCAUGCAAGUGAUCCCCACUGACCCUGGACAGCUCGACUCGCAGGUGGCCGCACUUCAUCCGGCUUCUCGGGUGGCCAAAGAGAUUUCUUCAAGGGAGUUUUACAAGCCUGAUCCACCAUCAUCGAGCACCUCCGCACCUAUCAGCGUCUUGUGCCCCGGAAUGGCGAGCUUCGAGGCGGCGCCUGGGUCCUUAUCUCAGCUACUCCCCCGGCCUUGAGCAGCCCGGCUCUAGCCGUGCUGUUGACGUACAUCUCAACUUUGUCUACCGUUUAGCUCUGAUCUCCUCUUCGUCUUGCUCGUGUUAGGGAUCCUGCCGCCAGGCAAGCACUCAAGGAGCAAAUUAAAGCAGCACUACUGUAAAGCUCACUCCUGUUGUUAUUCCUUUUCCAAGGCACGGAGGAGCUCCGUUCUCUCAGCAACGAUCCCACCUCCGUUCUGAUCACCUACGUAAAAUUGUUUGGUUCACAUUCAAAUAAAAGAAAAAAUAACUUCACCUCAGUUCUCAAGCCUGAGCAGCGCGUCCGUUAUUACACAAGUCCAAGCUUUGUUAGUUGGGGCCGAGCACAGGUAAUGGAGAAGGUAGUCAUUUUGGAGGCGGUUGUUGCUGCAAGAUAGGGACUUGAUAGCGGACAUGAGCUCCCUGUUCCUCGACUGGAUUGUUCUGCCAAUGCAAAGCUCCUGUAGCAAAGCCAACUUAGUACAUGUUUCCUUUUAACUGGACACAUACCAGUAAGAACUCCAAAUGAGGUGUCUUCUCCAGGUACUGCGCAAGUGCAUCUCCAAGGUACGAAAGUGAAACGUUGCAGACAACACCACUGAUCGCAACGGCCUCCACGCAUUUCUGAAUCAGCAGCGGCUCGUUCAACCGGAGUGCCAGCAUCAGUGCUCAUGAAUAACACUUGCUUUCCAGCGCAUCAUUGAUUGCCUACACAAAAGCCACAAAACGCUUCACAUCCAGUGCGCUCAUAAACACACCUCCGGUGUGACAUCCACAUUGAGAUCGGUGGGAUCAAAAACAAGGUUGUCCAUUGAGUAGGCUUUCCGUUGUUGCCGCUGCUGCCAGUUGGAGAUAUCCUGACGCACUUGGUGCAUAUAACUGGCCUCGCAGCGCCAACUUGCCUCUAACUUGAUCAUCGCCACUGGCCUGUAAUAGUCAUCGAUCAGAACUAUAGGACCUGCUGCAGUCAUUCUCUUCGAGUUUAGAAAGUCCAGAACACCAUCCAACGAAUAGUUGUGAGAUAUCUGAAGCCUUCGUAGCAAACCCUGCACAGACGAUAUCUCGCAAGCAUGAAAGUCAAGCGAGCUUGUGCGUGAUAAAUACCUGGUCUGCUGCAUCGUACAUGCAAAUGUACUUGCUGGUUCCUCCAGCAAGCAGUAGGCUGCCGUCGGCUGAGUAAGACAUGGUCGUAAGCAUUUGCCCGAGCUCGAGUUAGCGGCCGUUCUUCUAUCGCUCAUCAAUCUCCCUCCUGCAACGUCACGCCUGCCUUCUAUCGUGCCCAUUAGCACUCCGUCAAUCGGGUCCCAGAAGUGGAUCUGACCAUCAAGUGUUGAGCAGCCCAGUUUCUUUCCGUCCGGGCGGUAAACCACGGUGAGCACGUCAUGCGUAUGGGUGAAGGUUUCAAUCCCGCCCUUACCUUCAAACACAUCCACAGGCGCACGGUUUUGUCCCGUGACGAGGAAGCCAAGAACUCCUGUCAAGACGUGUUAGAAAGUGGAAAGGAUUGUCGUGUAGGAGUACGGACGCCUGUAGGAGAAGAGGCCAAACCAUGAACCGGUCCCUCGUGACCACUGAGGACGCGCUGCUCUCAUGGACCAAACGUAUAUCUAGCAAGAGCAGUAAAGCUUGAAAUGAAUCGAGAAAAGGAAAGCGAGUAGAAAGCGACAAGAUACCUGGAAUGCGUGUUCCAGCACAGAUGAUCUCUCCACUUCGGUCUGCAGCCAAUGACACAAACUGGGCGUGGUGAGGGUUCGAUAGCGCAUCAGAUCCCAUGCACGUACAGUACCAUCGAGAACAGCAUUACUUCCGGCCAAGAACAACACUGCAGUCACUGCAUUUGUGUGCUCAUGCUGACGAAACAGGAUUCAGACGCAGCAUUCCACAACUGCAACACACGAGAAAGGCAUAAGCGAUGGCGCAAGAAGAGAGUGAUCACAGCCAGACCUUUACUUUGUUGUCAUCGGUGCCGGUGGCAAUCAGCUACGAAUAUGGUGAAUAUGCAACACAGUUGACGUCGAAGUAGUUUUCCGCUCCUGCUGAAUACUGCGGUAUGCAUGCACGUAAAGUUGGGGACUUGGGAGAUGCCAAACACUCCAGACGAGAACCCGGCAACCAGGAUGUUGAGUCGCAUGACGAGAUCCUUCCAGUGGAACAAGUGCUUCUUCACGAGCUCCCACUGCCCUUUAUCCGGACAUAGCUCCGUUUGCUGGCCAUCGGAUUCUUCCUUAUUGGUAAGUGUGUGAAACCGAGGAGUCAAGUGAUCCAAGCAAAUACCUUGCGAAGCUACGUCUUCCUCGACUUUCCAUGAUCGCCACCACCACCAAGCACGGGAGAUGGAAUCUUUUGAGCCCCCAGUGACACAGCCCUAGGUGCAGACCCGCUCUCAAUGCUCUCGUUGCGGUGCGCAGAGAGCAUGACUGGCCUUGCUCUGGAGCCUGAAAAUCCUUGCAGGCACAGAUGAUUCAAUUGCUGUUGGGGCUCUAGUUGAGGCUGUCGUGGAUGCUGGAGAAAGUGUGGAGCAGCUGAAACGCCAUGAACUCCUUGCGGCACCCGGGCAUUCCACCAGCGGCAGCAGCACCAACAACAGGAGGCGAAAGCAUUGCAAAAGGGAUCGAGUUAAAGUCUUAUUAAUUGCAGUGGAUCUAGCAAAGCUUAUGUUUCUUCUGCUACUGUUUCCUCCUUUAUUUCAAAGUGAGGAUUUCAUAUCCCACCGUUUGGCGCUCAUUGAGCAGCAAUUAACAGUGGUAGAACAGCAAGUGCAAGAGCUGUUGAAGCAGUCACCGCCACUGAUGCCGCCCCCGCAGCAGCAACCAUCGCUGCCGCCGCCUCCUCCGUCCCCGGCCCCACCACUGUCAAUGCCACCACUACCGAUGCCACCCUUGCAGCAGCAGCUGUCGCAGCCGCCUCCUCCGCCCCCGGCCCCGCCGCUGUCACCGCUGCCACCCUGGUAGAGGUUCACUAGCUUGUUUAGGAGGCUAUGGGCAAUCCAAUGGUUGAGGAGCCGUCCAUGGCUAAGGGUGAGGAGACACGAUUGCCGCCACUGCUAGUGCCAUGACCACCACAGCCACCAUGACCGUUGCCACCGUCGUCACCACGGCCAUCAGCACCACCACCACCACCACUGCAGGGGAUGGGGACCAUCACCAGCACCAUCACCAGUGUGAUUAGUGGAUUGGUAUCAACAUUUGUUGUUCCUGUUGUGGCCAGUGUAGUAGGAACGGCUAUCAUGCUCAGAAGGAGGCAGGUAUGUAAUCAGGUGUGUGUGUGUGUGUGUGUAUGUGAUUGUCUAACUUGGAGUGCAGAUUGCUGCUCCUAUGACCAUUGAUCAGCAGCCCCAGCCUUGAUCCAGCAGCAAUCUUUUGUUUUUGCAAAUCUUCAUCUAAUCACCCUGGCUCUUGUGCCUUUGUCAAGACCGUAAGCUCUCGUGGAUGCUCAAAACUUUGGACAGCGUAGUUCAGGGUGGUCAUGCCACUGUGCAAUGAGCAAACCCCACAGUAUUACAUCUUGGACUUCCAUGGUGCUCAAGACUCACUUGUAUAGACUGACAAGAGAGAUGACCACUUGAUUUUGCAAUAAAAUUGACAGAUAUAUUUAAUAUUUUUCCUGUUUAUACUGUAUGGUACCAAAAUAAAAUUCUUAUAAAAAUAUAUAUAAAUAUGAUGGUGUGAUUGCAUGGAAUAUAGAAAUGAAAUACAAAAAUGUGCAUCUCAAAAAGUUCUCUAACUGGGAUUUUACAAAUGAUGCAAGAUUCUCAAAUCUAUUGCAAAAAUUUGGCAUCCAUGGCUUAACAUUUUAAACUUCACGAACCUCAUCAAAAAAAGGUAAAUUUUGCGCUAUGCCUUGUGGACAUUAAAUAUCAAAUACACAAUGGAUGUAGUAUCAAAAGAUAUAUAAUAAAUAAAUAAAUCCUAUUCAUUCCUGUUCUCCACAAUCUCCCAUAUAGAAUAUAGAUUAUAAAUAUUCAAAUUUUUAUAAACAAUAUAAAAUGAAUGCUAGCAAUUGAUUAUGCUCAAAUUUAAUCUUCAUCAUAGAAAUAUAAAUUCUAUAAACAUUCUUAACUUUUUAUUUGUACAUUUGUUAUACUAUUAAGAAUCCUAAUUUUAAUAAAAAAUUUAAAAUUAUAUUAAGAAAAAUACUAUUAAUAAGGAUAUUUCUACAAGAUUAAAGUUUCUAGAAAUAUUUUUAAUAUCUCUAAAAUUAGUUUCACUCUUAUAUAAAUUUGUAAAGUAGCCUAAUAAUAAUAUGUCAUGAUAUUAAUGAAUUUAUGUAGAAGGACAGUGCUCUAUUUGAUUGAUUUUGAUUUCUUACAGUUCAAGUUCCUCAACGAUGAUCCUGGCUACAUCAACUGCUCCAACAAGACAUGUGUCACCGAUUCAUGUAGCGUGAGGACUUGCUCUGGAUUGCUUGCUUUCUGUCUUGUCAACAUAAGAACCACCGUCACCUUUGUGUUCUUUGGCAGUGGGCUUGUAACUCCCUGCAUUCUCAAGAUUGCCCUGCCACUUUCGUUUGUGAGGCUUGAGGCUCCUCUAUACAGGCAUUUUUCUCAUAACUUUACUCUACUAAUUUCUCUAACUCAAGAUGGUGGUAACUUGCUCAAAGUGUCAAGUAUGAUGGUCGAAGCUCACUUUUCCAAAAGAAAGAUAUGUGUGGUGAAGAUUAACAUUUUAUUUUUAUUUUUCUUUGGGUAAUUCUUUUAGGUUCACCAGCUACCAAUUUUGGAUAUAUGCAUUUCCCUGAGAGAGAAUCUUUGUUGUGAGAGAAGAGCCACAUUGAGAUCCAAUGCUUCAACAUCUCCCCUAUGCUAUGCCAAGACAUGACAACUCUAGCCAGGCUUGUUUUGUGCUCACUCUUCCCACAUUAACUCUUUGUUUUUGGGCAAUGCACCAAAAUGUGGAGUCCAAACUCCAAUCACACCAAAUUAAAGAUUCUCCCAAAAGUAUUUCCAUAGUGUAAACAACAAAACAAAAUUUGUGAGGUGCAAAUGUACGGUUAUAAUGCCGUAUACUAAUAUUAAAGUAGUGGGAUUUUGGUAGUUGUCGGAUUGGUUUCAAUCCAGACUACUCGCUCCUGUAUAUAAACUAGGGUUUUUGGGCUAAUUGAUAUGCAUAUUUUCUGUAUUCCCUUUCUAUAUUCCAUGCACUCACAUUGGUGGAGGUGAGGGGCACCUUUGAUUGUCUUUGAGAAGUGCUUGGAUUUAGGAUUUUGCUUUAAAUCUAGCUUUUGCAUUGUCUAGAUUUAGCUUUUUCCAUUUCUUUUCUUUUGCUCUUUCCUUUUAGGAUUUUGAUUUAGAUCUAGCUUUUUGCAUUGUUUAGAUCUCCCUUUCUUUCUAGCUUUUUCUUUUCAUUUCUCUUCUUUUGCUCUUUCCUUUUCAUUCAUCUUCAUGGCAGGUUAGCAAUCUCCUCCUCCUUUGACUCUGGAGCAGUAGUUGGUACAAUUGCUUGAUGCUAUGCAAUUGCCAUUGAACAACUAAACUUAGUUGAUGGUGGCAUUCACAGCACAUGAUACAACUCCUCCUGCUCUUGGUGCCAAUCUUUGCGUUCAGCCAAAGUUCUUUCGCAGGAAUUUUGGGGAUGAUGUGUACCAUUGGUUCGAUCAUUUCAUGGUGAUUGCCACAUAUUAUUCUUGUGAUGAUGCUCAAUGUUUAUGUGAGUUUCCCAUGUGUUUCCACCAGACAGUGUUGCAGUGCUACAAUGGUUUGAGCGCAACCACUCGUGGGGAUUGGAGUGUUCUCCCAGACAUCUUCAAAUGUGCAUUCGGACAUGCCGACGAUUAUAAUGAUGCCUUCCAACAAUUACAUUGUCUUCGUCAAUGGCCAUUUGAGUCGAUGAUGCAAUUUAGCAUUUGUUUCCAAAACCUCUUACUUUGUGCAAAGCUAAAUAUGUCGGAAUGGAUCAAGCUAGGAAUGUUGUGGCUAACACUUUAUUAAGAUCUUGUUGGACUUGUGCAUGCACUUGUUUCUGCCACCCUUGACGAUGCUCUUCACUUGGCACAACGUUAUGGGAUGUUGCCUCUUCCACUUCUCACUGCAUGUCCUUCAGCUCCACUUUUUGUGGGUGAUGGUCUUGUUCCAAUGAAGGUUGAUGCUGCUGCUGUUCGAGUCCAAGGACAAGGGCAAGGUUGUGGUCGUGGCUAUAAUAUUCGUUAUUGGGCAAAGUUAGUCACACUUAUUAUAGUUGUCAGCAUUUUCCAGAUUGGCAGCCACCAUUUCUUGGGUGAAGACCUUGGCGUCAACAAUGUCCUGUUGGUGCUACUGUAGUGGAAAGUCUGGACACUGAGAUGCAUCUGGGAAAUGAGGAAUCACACGAGUAAUGGAGGGAUCUUGCGCAAAUAAGUCAAUGACCCCUCCAUCUUUCUUUCGGGAAUAUCGUCAAGGGGUUCACUUGACACCAGUUUAUCCAGUGUUUACUUUCCAAACUCGUUUUUAUAACAAACAGUCUCCUAUUAUUCUCUCCGUAUUGGUUGAUAUAGGUUCGAGUUUAUCUUCUAUUGCUCGACUUGUUGCCACACGUUGCCAUUUAUACUUCUGUCGUGCGAUGAAAUCAGUUUUCAUUCUUUAUGGCAAUGGCCGUACACAUGCGUGUGCACAGAAUGAGGCAGACUUAGUUGUAUGUAUGGGUGAUCUCGAGCUUGGAUUGCAAUCAUUGCAGGUAGUGCCAAGUCAAGCUUUUGACCUCUCUUGGUAUGGAUUAGUUAUAGCAUAUUCAUGCCAAGUGUGAUUUUGAUGCUUCUCCCCCUUGUCUUAUACUUUCUUAUAUUUCAUUCAUUCUUCUCACUUUCAUACCUCUUUAUCCCUUUGUUUCUACCUUUGCUUCAAUUACUUUUGUGCCCCCACUAUUUCCUCCUAUUUUUUCGUCUUGUUUUGCUCUUCCCUUUUUUGAUCCCUCUAACAAUCUUUGUGUUGUAGUGGUUGACUGGCUCAUGAGGGAGUAUUUUGAUCUCUUUGAAUUUGAACUAUUGUCUGGGGCUAAGAUUGCCACACGUUAUUCGAUUCGAACUAAGGAUGCUCGUCUAAUCAAGGUUCUUGUUCGUCGUCGGUCACUCAAAAAGAUCAAGAUUUUACAUGCAAACGUCUGAGAUAUGUUGGAGAAGGGUGUUAUUUGGAAGUCACGGAGUCCUUGGGCAUGUGAACCUCAUCUUGUGACGAAGCCUAAUAGGAGUAUUCUUUUCUGCAUUGACUAUCGUCCAUUAAAUAAAGUGACGAUCCCAGAUAUGUACCCUCUUCUUCACACUAUUAAUCUCUUAGAUCGUUUGGGGCGAAGUUGUUGGUUCACCAAGCUAAAUCUUGCUUUUGGGUACUGGCAAGUACUGAUGGCUGAAAAAGAUAUUCCUAAGACUGCUUUUCGUACACUGUUUGGUUUGUACAAGUUUUUGGUGAUACUGUUUAGUUUGAACAAUGCUCCAACAACUUUCUAACAGAUGAUGGACGAGGUUCUUUGCGAUAUGCCAGAGGUGACUAUUGACUUUAUUGAUGAUGUCUUGAUCCACUCGGAGGGGACGUGAGAGGAGCAUAUUUAUGAUGUUUGUAAAGUGUUGGAUUGGUUACAGGACGUUAGUUUAAAGCGGUUGAAGUGCAUGUUUGGGUCCAAGAACACAAUUUAUCUUGGGUACCGUAUUUCUUGUGAGGGUUUGCAAGUUGAUCCUGACAAACUUGUGGCUGUUCUAAAGUUCCUUACUUCGAAGUGUGUAAAUGAUGUGUAACGCUUCUUAGGCAAGGUGUAAUAUCUCGGUCAUUUUGUGGAUCAUUUUUCUAAUCGCACUGCACUAUUAUGAACAUUGAUGAAGUCAUCAACGUCAUCUUUCAUCUGGUCUCCGGAUUGUGAGCAGGCAUUCGUGAAUAUCAAAAAGCUAUUGACGACUCCUCUAGUUUUGGCAUAUCCUAACUACACUUAACCUUUUAUUUUGCACGUGGAUGCUUCUGAUAUUAUUCUUGGAAGUGAGUUGAUGCAAGAGAGCUUGAAUGUGCCUGGUUAGUGCCAUCCCAUUGCAUAUAUAAGCCAUACAUUACAACUAGUGGAGGUGAACUACUCCACGACAACGAAGAAGUGUUUAGUAGCAAUUUAGGGUUUCGAGAAACUUCAUGCAUAUCUAUAUAGUUCUUGGACGUUACUUGAAGGUGAUUAUGUUGCAGUUACUUCAUUAUUAAAGCAAAAGAACCUGGCUGGUCGUACUGUUUAGUGGGUUUUGAAGGUUUAGAUAUAUGAUUUUGGUGUUGUUUAUCGCUUAGAGAGUUAUAUGGCUAAUGCUAAUGCCCUUUCUCGAGCUCCUCUUCCUUCUCCACUCUCUUCUCAUGUUUCUAAUAAGCAUGUUUUUCCAGCAUCUAUGGAUUUUCUAGACAAAGAUUCUGUGCUGUCGGCGAUUUCUGUACUUGAUGUUCAGUGUCCACAAGAUGCAGAAUAAGAUUUACCUUCUCUUGAUGAGGUUCACGAGGCUCAAAAGAUUGAGUCGUGGAUUUUUAGGGUUCGAGAUGGGUUUGAGAAUCCUACAUCACUUGCUAAUGAUUUACCAUUUCGGCAUUUACAUUUUAAAUAUCGCCUUAAAGAUAGCCUUCUUUAGUUUGUGAGGACGGAUCCUAAUAAUCCUUUAUAGCUAGUGGUGCCUUCUAUUUUUAUUCCAUGGUUUCUCUAUGCCUACCAUGAUUCUCCUGUUCUAGGCGGGUAUAUGAGACAUUGUCGUGUAACCGAGAAGCUGCACAGGUCUUUCUAUUGGCUAGAGAUGUGACAUGAUGUUAUCCGGUAUGUGCGUAAUUGCAUUUGGUGCCAAGCUUGUAAUACUCCCCCUUAUGCCAUGGAAGGAUAGUUAGAAUCAAUUGCAAUUUCCUGUCUAUUUUAGUUGGUGGUGUUUGAUCUUAUGGGACUUUUUCCACGAUCGACUACUGGCAAUGAAUAUGUUAUUAUUGCUUUUGAUUAUUUGACUCAUUGGGUGGAAGUUAGUGCUCUUGCUAGCGCCUUUGCAACUGCUGUUGGAUACUUCCUCCUCAAUCGAGUGGUGUUCCAACAUUCUUGUUCAGAGUGGAUUCUUUCAGAUAAUGGUCCCGCAUUUAUGGCUGAGGCAUUUCAUAUUUUUCAUGUUUUGACGUCUUGGUUGGGGAUAUGCCACACUUUCAGGAGUGUUUAUUAUCCACAAUCAAACGGUUUGGUGGAACGGCUUAUUCGGACAUUCAAAGGAAUGAUCACGAAAUACAUGAACUUUCAACAUUCGGAUUGGGAUGGUUAUUUGUUAUCUCUUCGGUAUGCAUAUGUCAUAGAGGUGCAGAGUUCUGUCGGUGCUUCACUAUAUAAACUUCUAUAUGGUCAUACUCCAAUAUUAUCAAUGGAGUUGGGUUUACUUUUACAAUUGCCAUGAGCUGCCAAUGCUAGGUCGUGGGAUCAAUAUUUGAUGAGCAUUAUUCCACUUGUUUGAGUAAAGUCCACUGAACAUUUAGGCCACGUAUAAGUGGGACAACAAUGGUGCUAUAACUUUCAUCAUCAUCCACCUGCGGAGUACAAAAUGGAUGACUUGGUGUUAGUUCGUUUUCCCCAUCUUACGGUAUAUGGUUUAUCUAAAAGGCUCCUUGCUUAGUGGAAAGGACCAUAUUAAGUGUUGCAACAAGUUGAAUUGCAAGUUUAUGAGGUUUGGCAUGACGUCUAGUAGGCUGAUCCUUCAGAAAUUGUGCAUGUGCAACAGUUGAAACGCUUCAUACAAACUAAUUAGGAACAACUAAUACCACUUACAGAUCCACCGAUGCCUUCUUUUGACGGUCCUCUAGAUCCUGGCCCAUUUACAAAAGCACCUUGAUGGUCUUCCAUUAUUCCGAGAGGAGGGGAUGAUCUGAGGUUCAAGUGUACAGGUAUGAUGCUGUAUACUAAUAUUAGUAUAGUGGGAUUUUAAUAGCCGUUGAAUUAGUUUCAAUCCGGACCACUUGCUCUUGUAUAUAAGUUAAGGUUUUUGGGUUAAUUGAUAUGCCCUAUAUAUAUUCUAUGCACUCACAAAUCCAUAACUUUUGACUUGCUCGAAAUAAUUUAUUGAACUAAUGCUGUUUUUCUUUAAACCACAUCUAAAAAAUAAUAAUCAAACAUAUGUAUGACAUUUAACUUCUUUGUAGAAUUUAAAUAUAAAUUAAUUAAGAAUCGUCUUAAGAAUUUUUAUUAAAAAAUAUUAAUAAUAAAUAAAUAAAUAAAAAAACAAUUUUUACAUCAUCACACUUUAAAAAUCCUUAUUUUAAAACUAAUCUUAACAUUUUAGUAAUGAAAGUAUUUAUAAAUGUUUUAGUAAUGAUAUUUCUAAAAGUACUUUUACUAUUAUAUAUUUAUAAAAUCUUUGGAAUUAGAAAUUCAAAAUAGGGCAUUAAUAAUACUUUAAUUGGUAAUGACAUAAAUAUUUUAAUAAAUCUAUUUAUUAAUUUAUAUAAAAUAAAACAACAUUUUCUAAAAAUAUAUUUUAUCCAUUAAAUUAUAUUGAUAUUAUAAUUACUCCAUUUGAUGAUACUUAUACUUGAUAUAUCUCUACAAGUGUUGAAUGUAUUGAACACAUUUGUGGUGAUCCACCAAAUUGUAAAAUAAAUAUAGAACUAAAUACAAGCAUUAGUGAAAAUACAUUAAUAAUAUGAUUACAAUAUUUAAUAAAUAAUUUUAGAAAAAUAAUUAAUUCUACAGCUUCUAAUUUAUUUAUAAUAAUAACUUCUUUUUUUCAAAUUGCUUAUACAAUACAUGAUUUUACAAAAAAGCCACAAUUUCUGAAUAAAAGUAAUAUUUCUUUAGAAAAUUUAUUUUCUGAACUACCAAAUUUUUAUAUUUUGACAGAUAUAUUUUUAGCAUCACUAAAUGGUUAUUGUACAGGGUUAAUAUUAUUAUUACAAUGAAAUAUUUCAAAACAAUAUAAAUAUUUUUAUAUUGGAAUUUUUUAUAUUUCCAAUCCACCAAGUUUGUUCAUCAGUCACAGAAUAUAUCAAAUAUUGUUUAGUAUGAUAAAUGCUUAGAUGUUGGAGAGAGUAAAAACAACAUUUUCUGAUCCCAAUUAUCCUAAUACAAUUAUGAUUAUUCAUAAAUUAUUUAAAUUAAUUAAUAUAUAUAAUAUUUAAUGUGAUAAAGUUAAUAUAUUUUUAAAUAUUAUUGUUAUAAAAAAUAUAUCAAACUGUAAAUCCUGUAAAUACAUGUAUGUAUAUAUGUGUAUUACCCUGCAUAGAUUAUAUUUAUAGAUUGUUCAUUUGGGACUUAAUUUUGUGCAUUCAAUUUUAUAUAUAAUGAACCACAAUUAUUAUAUCUAUUUUGAUAUGCUGAGUACUCAUAAAAUCAAAAUUUAAAUUAAUCAAAAUAGAAAACACCUAUGCUCUGUUUCAUUAUCUAGAUAUUUGAUAAUUAAUUCCUAAAUAUAUAAUAACUGCAUACUCUAGUCUAGACUACCGCCAAGGAAUUAACUCUAGAAAAAGUUCACGGUGAUUACACUUUGUUAGAAAUGCAUGAACAUAAAUGAGUUAGCAAGCAACCUCUCUAACACAAAU
rnacentral:lncRNA from 1 species